CAUCACAAUUGUGGGAUGAAGGAACAAUAUCUUCAAGCUUCUUGGCAGUGAAGAUGUCAAUUCCAACAAAGUGACACUUAGCAUGGCCGUGCUUUCCUGUCUUAGAAGUUGAAACCUCAACCACCUGCAUUACCAUACAACCCAAAGAAAAGUAACAUAAAUUAGUGGGAUUAGGUAUGCAGAAAUGCCUUCUAGAGAGUACACUUUCAAAUUAAGGAAGAUCAAGUGCUUAUCCACUUCAAUGCCUAAAGUUAUAAUUUAGUAGUAUUAAUCAAUUUGUCCUUUUGGACCCUCGUUAUACUUUUUCAAUAAUUAAUGUCAAGUAGCAAUAACAGUCUCAAACAAACAUAAACUCACCCCCGUGUGGCUGGUGACAAAGAAAUACCCAAAAAGGAAAAAACACGACACUAUGGAAAUCAUCUUCUCCAGAUAAAAUCAAUAUUAAACUAAAACUACACUGUAAACAACUAUAAACACCAGCAUCCUCAUAGGAAGGAUUAGAGGAUAAUAUAACACACUGUUUAUCGUUGACCAAACGAAACUCAGCCAUCAAGAGAUCUUUCGAAGUCAUAAUUACAAAAUCCCCAAACUCCAAACAAACAUUGAUCCGAAUAAUCGUCAAUGUCAAUUUCAACAUCAGAUCCAUCAAUUUCCCCAAAUCCAAGACUCAAAAAUCAUAAGAAAUAAAAAACUUACAGUAUAAGAAUCAUUAAUCCAGAAAAAGAAAACCCUCGAAUAUCAAUCAAAGAUCUAAAUCGCUCGAUCCAAAACUCAACCCUAAACAACAUAAAUCAAACCACACAAUAAAACAAACACAACCGAUGAGAAAAAAAAAUCAAAUCAUCGCAAUAAACACAAACAAAUCACCUUGCAUGGACGGUUCUUGAUGACGAUGUAGCCGUUCUUCCGGAUAGCUCCGGCCUGUUGUGGGUAAGUCUUGGAGGCUCCGGCGUCGGCCUUGGAUUCAAAGUGAUGCUCCUCGUCCGACAUGACUAAAGAUUGAUUUCGUUCUUCUACAGCCUCCGGUGGGCUUCUUCUUCUGUGUUCACAGUGGGAUUUCGGUGGAAGCGGAAGGAAAACGGGAGGAAGGAGGAGAGUACGAGUCAAGAGGACGAGACCAAUUUAUAGCAUCACGUUUCAACCGGCCACGUAUCGUAUCAAUUAGGGUUUCUGAUGCGAGCCCCUAAACUAUGUUGAUAUUCUUUUUUUUCCCACAUUUCGGUGCCAAAACGAUCUCCACCGUUGCUUCAUUUGUUUAAUCUUUGGACGGUUUGAAUUUUUUAAAAAUAAUUUUUGGCAUAUUUUUAUUUAGAUUUUCUUAAUCUGUGAAAUUACAUAUCACUUUUUUUCUUCUUCUUAUUAUCAUUAGUUAUAUUUGAUUUUUUAAAUGUCACAUUACCUAUCAUUUUCCUUGCAAAUUUGGAAAUUUUAUAGUAUCUAAAGUAUACUUUAACCAACGUUUUGUUAAACAUUUCUAACCGUUGGAUUGUCUUACAAAGUCAAUAUUCUUUUCUUUUUCUUCUUUUGUGCUUUCAAGUUUCCAUCCUAUAAUAAUAUAAUAUUUUUAAAUAUCGUAAAUAGUUUAUCAAUUUUUUCUAUUUUGAAAACAUACAUUUCAUUAGUUCUAGAGUAAUUAUAAUUGAUGACGUUUUUAUGAAUAAUAAUUAAAAAUAUAACAAUAUUUUUUAAAAAAAUCAAAACAAAUCUAUCAUUGAUAUGUAUCGAUGAUAGAUUUGUAUGAUCUAUCAAUGAUAGACCAAUAUUUACAAACAUCAAACAUGAUUUAUGGGUAAUAGUUUUGAUUAGUGACCAAUAGUCUUCUAUCAUUGAUAGAAUUUGACAAAUUUUGCUAUAUUUGUAAUUUUUUUAAAAUGUUACUCUAUAUUUAAUUAUUUUGCACCUAAUGACUAAAUUUGCAAUUAUUCCUUGGUUUUAAGUAUUUUUUUGGAUCGUACAACAUUUGGGUGUCACAUAAAUUUAUAAGAUAAUACUCACAAGUUAUUAAAUCAAAUAUUCUAAUUUUAAAGAUAUUAAUAAAAUUUAUACAUCCAAAUUGCUAAGUUUGUCAAACUAUGUGAUAGUUAUGUGAUGUCGUAAAAAAAAUAGACUUUUAUUAUGUUGCGUGGUAGAUUAUAACGCUUUUUUUAUCACGAUUACAUGAUAAAAUAUAUUUAAUUUAUGAAUUACAAAUAUAACCAAAUUAUAAAUUUAUCGUUAACAUAAUAUGUAUAUAGAAGUUUAUCACCAAUCUCAAUCAAUUAGAGUAAAUUACGGGUGGAUACUUUUUAUAUUCGUAAAUAAACCGUUGCUUAAUUACGAGUUAUAAACAUGCAAUCUAUUGUACUUACUCCAACGAAUGAUACUCGAAAAUAUCAUGUAUUAUAAUUAGAUCUUUGAACAUAAAUUCUUAUUUCCCUUGGACCAAAAUAUUUUUUAAUUAUUGUUACCAGCAUUAUUUCAUUUAGGGCUUGACGAUCUUAUCUUUCUAUGGAUGAAAUAUACCAAACUAUUGUCUUUUUAGCCAUCAAGAACAUCGCUCUCACAAAAAGAAGGUAUUUUGUAAGACUCUGAACUCUUAUCUCUAAUCAAUGAAUAGAAUUAUAAUUGUAUUUUUUUAAGGAUAUGAUACUUUAAUUUUAAUAUAUGCUUUUUUAUAUUGUAUUUGUAACAAUAUACUAUAUAUAGAGAGAUAGAAGUUUAAUUUGUGGACGUCAACCUCAGAUUCAAGUCAUGCCAUUAACAAAAAGAAAACAUAACCAAAUGGGACUACCGACAUUUUCUUAACAAUAUUCGGAAUAAAUUGACAAAAUCGAUAUUUAUUUUUUUAGGAAUAUUUAGUUAUUUUAGAAUUUUAGUGAAUUAUUUUUAAAUGUCAACUGCAAAUAUCAAGUAUUAAGAUCACAAGAGACGAAGCAAAUAUUAAGUAUUAAGAUCACAAGAGACGAAGAUACAUUACUAUUUGCACUAUAUACACAUAUAAUAGUAUGAUACAUCUCAUUGUAGAUAGGUUAUGAUAUCCAUCAAUAUAAAUUUGUUAAUAUAUUAACAAAUAAACGUGAUAUUAUUAAAGUGAAAACGUAAUUAUAUAAGUUGAGAGUGGAAGAAUUUGAAUUUUGUAACAAGUAUAUCUCGGUUGGCCUAAGUUUUUAUUGGUUAUAGGGUUGGCUUACAUUGGAAAAAAAGUUCCAAAGAAUUCAAAGUUUUGGGGAAUUUAGGGAAUAUUUAAGAAGAGAAUUUGGAAUGGGACACUUCUAAAUAAAGAUAAGAAGGAAUCUGAUUGCAUAGUGAGUUGAUAUAUGGAAUUGACCAUUCUUUCAGUCUCUUCGGCUUUGGUGCGCAUCUUCUCAAAAUAAAGUGAACCAUACGGCUACCUUUCGGCAUGUUUUAAUAUCCUUUUCAUCAUGAUUGGAACCUCACCUUUCUUAUUAAAUGAACACAAUUCAAAGGUGCAUGAAUGUCACAAUUCAGUACUAACUUAUUCCAAUUUCCAUCUUGAGUUUCAAUUUAUUUUGUUUGAAUCCUCAUUUCUCCCUAAAUGUAUAAUCCAUGUUUGAUGUUCCACUUAUCUCAACAAGGCAGAAAUUUAUAUGCCAUUUUGAAUAUAGUUUUUAUUUUCUCAUAUGACUUAUUAUUUCCAAAAACUGUUUAUUUUUAUAAAAAUUAUAAUUUAAAAUUAUUCUCAAAUAUAUCUAAAUAUUUACAAAAUAUUAUAGUCUAUUUAUGAUAGACCGUCAUGAGUUAAUAUAGACUACUAUACUCGUCUAUAUGUGUCAUGAUUUAUUACAUAUAAAUUGUGAUAUUUUAAGUUAAAAUAUAUUUUUUUUAAAUUUGUAUUAUUGAUAUCGAUAUCCAACGUUCAUUCCUCCAUUUCGCAUAUUGUCAAAAGAAAUUAAAUAAGAGAAGUAUAUGUGGAAUAAUCUUUAUAAUUUUGUGUUCAAUAAUUCACUUCAAUAACAAACACUAUUGAAGUUUUCCCGUUUAUUGAAGAGUUUUACCUUUCGUUUUCUAUAUUUUGUACUUUUAUAGAACUUUAUAUUAAACUCUACAUCAAACAUAACACUUUCUAACUCCAACCUGGAUGCUCUAAACACCCACUGAAUUUACUAUAAUUAAUCACAACUUAAGCUUUGAGAUUCUUGGAUGAUUUACUGUGGUAUUAGAGGAAAAUUUUACUAUAAUGUUUCAGUAUUGGUAUAAUUGAAUUUAGAAAGAAAAAUCAAUUCAAUGCUAUAUAUCAUCUCAUUCUAAAGAACCUGGACACCAAGAUUGUGACAUACUAAUUUCUAAAUUACUUCAAAACAUGUCUUUAACCAUUCUAAAUCAAUUUUGUUGAUAUGAAAUUUGUAUUUACAAGAGUAGAAGUAAAUAUUAAACAGGUUUUCGAAGUGAUUUUAAACAUGACAAAAUUAUUAGAAAUCACUCCAAAACAUGCGCUAAAUAUGAAAUUCUCAAUUUAAAAACAUAGUGAUGUUUGGCUGUAUCGAAAGCUUCAGUCAUCGUUUCAAUAACAUUAAUCUCUCUGAACUCUGAGGAGGUUUUGUAAAUUGUAGAACGAUGCUUACCCAAGUAGUUGAAGCUGGUCAUAUUGAGAAGCAAGUCUAAGUCGUGAAUGAGAUGGAAUAUGCUUAGAAAUAACUUUUGCAGUUUCUUUCCACCAAGAAACUUCAGAUUCUUUAUCAAUAAUCUCUUGUUUGGCACAUUCUAGAGCCUCUUUGAGUUCUUUUAUCUGCUCUUGCUGCCUUGCUUCUAGCAGUUCAUGCAACUUUCUUUCGAGUUCUACAGGCGGAACUCCUUCUUGCCUCUCAGUCCCAUCUUCUUGGAGAUCAGUGACUUCACCAGAACUCAUACAGCAGCUUCUUGUCGAGUUUGUGUUCUUCGCAGUCUGUCAUUUCACACAACACAGUUUCAGAACUUGCAAUCAAGAAUUGAAUAUGCAGCAUACAUCAUUAAAAUUACAGAUAAUAUGUCAGAAAUAUACAUCUUCAUCCCCUCAAAUAUGAUAAAUCAUUUUGAAUUAUAUUACUACAUGAUGUUAAAAAUUUUAAGUAGGAUGAGUGCUCAUGAACUACCAUAGAUUGAAGACACAUCUUAUCACAUAGAUAUUUCUUCUUUGCUCCUCAAAUCAUAUUACCUACAUCCUUCUAAGAACUUGAGCAGUACCACUGAAGUUAUAUGGCAAAAAGUCCAAAACCAAGUAUUACGGCAUCCCAGAUAACCAGUGUUGGCCAAAAUCAUCAAAAUGGUUAUAAGGAUGAGAUAAAACCAAGGCAUAAGAAAAUAAUUAAUGAUAUUGGGUAAAAACAAUGAUCCGAUCCAAGAUUAAUGAACGACACCAUCUUGAAGGUCGUAUGGAGAAUCCCACAUCUGAAAAUCAAAGGACCUCAAACUACUUGUAAGGCCGAUGGAUUACCCCUUUCAUUAUCUAAUAAUGAUAUAUGUUGGUCAAGAUCUCCAAAAUAGUCCUAAACAAUGAGAUCAAACCAAAGGAUGUGAAAAUCAAUUUUAUGUAGACUGCAAAAACUUUAAGAGAGCAAUUAUGAACCAACCGGUCCCAUCAAAUCAAUUUGGAUAGAAAAAGCUAUCUCGUUCAAUACCUUAAUUCUUAGAUGUUCUAUGCGUCCAGAAGAACUUUCAACUUCCAAGUGAAGCUGUAAACGUUCUAACUCGGCCUCGAAUUCAGAUUCCAAUUCGUCGAUUCGUUCCUGACAUUCCCCAGCUUGUUCAUACAAACAAGACAUCCGGGAAUGAUUUGGUAUAGUUGAUUGUGCAUCAGACACAAUUUGAGAUGAAAAAUCUUGCUGAUAUGAAAGCUGGCUGGUAGAACAAGGACCGUCUUGACAAUCCGUAGACGAACAAGCCACAUCUGCAUUUGAAUGGAAUGGCUCAAAGUGAUUGUCUUUUCUUCCAAGAUCCUCUUUGAUCUCUUGAAGAAAAUGUUCCAUUUCUCUCCUCAAAUCUACCAUCUUCGAAAGUUCAUUUUUACUUGCAAGUACAAGAGACAACAAACUACACCCAACUCCCAAGUUGAAUGAUGUGUCUUCUUUCCUACUCAGUCCUGUGAGUUUUAAGCACACAAGCAAAUUGAAACAAUAAGAGAAAACAAGGACAGCAUAGAGAUAUAGAAAACUCAAUCCAUUAGACUCUCCCAAUCUUGAAAUGGUUAUAAUUACUUUUGUUAUUUACAAAGUUCUUCAAAAACAAUUUCAAGUCUAAUUAUACCCUUUGAGAUGGAAUUUUCAUACCAUUUGAUUUGAUUUUGAGUUAUUAAAAACAUGUUUAGCCAUCAUCAACCCAUAAAAAGAAAGAUCAAAGGAAGUUUAGUACGUUGCCAAUAUAACUUCGAUCAAAUUUUUGUUAUCAUAUGAAAAGUCGGCAUACGAAUUUCCAGAUUCAGAUGUAGGCAUGCAUAAUCCAUUCGGCAUUAGAAAAUUACCAUCUCUUCCGUUUCCUAAUCGUUUUGAUUAACAUUGAUAAAUACACUAGCAUUAUCAAUUCGAAAGCCAUCCUACCAAUUAAAAUCGCAAGCACAAAUCAAUUCGAUCAGUAUACUCACUCACCUGGCCCUACAAUCACUCCCGGUGAAGCUGAGGAAGCACCACCGUCCACUCCAUCCCUCGAGCACCUACAACACGUCAACGGACCAUCAGAAUCUCCACCCUCUUUCACUCUCCUAACCUCCUCAAGCGCUCUCCUCCGCUUCGGUCGCCGGAACGAAGCCACCCACCGAGCAACAAUCCGCCGAGGCGACAAACAGUCAAUGCUCACAGACUCAUCCGACAAGCCACGCACUCGGGACAUACCCAAAUCCCCAGAAAACCCGUCACCGCCCUCGUUUUCUUCCCGGAAAAUAUCAACCAAACGGAAACGACGGCCGGUGGAGUUGCAGGAAUCAGAAACUUCAUGGGAUUUAAAGAGUGGUUUCAUAAGAGAACGUGAUUAAUUCGAAAGAGUAACGGGGCAGAGAGGAAAUUAAAUUCAAAUUAGGAAGUGGACAGAGAAGAAAGUGAAAGGUAUUACGAAUUGAAGAGAGGAAUAUUAAUGGCGUGUAGGAUUAGUUCAGCAAAUUCACGAGAUUUCUCCAUGUUUGAUUAAGAACUUCAAUAACUUCGUCAGUGGUUGAUAAUGGAGAAUUGGCGCUCAAUUAUUUGGUGGUAUUUAUGAAUUUUCAAAAUGAUGUCGAUGACUGAUAAUGAAUUUGGAUUGAACUCAAUAAUUUUUGUGUUCUCUAAUAAUUAUUGCAUUUUGAAUUCCCACCAUUUCAAAUUUCUUUCAAUUAAUGUUUGUUUACUUAAUUUACUAUUAUUAUUUCAUUACUUAAUAUGUCAUUUCGUAUAUUUCCUUUAUCUCGUUUUCCAUACAAAUUAUAUAAUAUUCCAAAAUAUCCGAAAAAAUAUCGAAAAUGGUAAAAUGUUAAAAAAAUAUUAUUUUAGAUUUUACGUUCAAUAAUAUUUUAAAAUGUUUAUAACUUAAAUAUAUAUAAAUUUUAACGAGUUUUAAAUGUUGUAUAUUGAAAUAACAUUUAAAAUAGAGACUUUUUUAAAUUGGCAAAAUAAAUUAAAAUAUUUACGGUUUAUAGCAAAAUAUUUUAGAUUCUAUCAAUAAUAAUAUUUCAUCACUAUAACGUAUCAAUAUUAAUAGUAUUUCAUCAAUGUAGCAUAUCAAUAACUAUAACGGAUAGAAUUUGAGUAGAUUGUAAAUAUUUUGUAAAAUUUGAUAUUUUUAAAAUUUCUUCUUAAAAAUAUGAAUACUCAUCAAAAUUCAUCGAAUUCUUUAUCGUGUCAAAAUAGUUUUAAUUUUAUGUUAUUCAUCAAAAUAUAUCAAAAAGUUAUCAAACAAACUCUCCACUUUAAAUACAAUCUUAUUAACUUUGGCGUAUUAACUUCACUUAUUGGUUAAGCAUACCUAAUUGAAAUAUUAGUUAUGCGACAAAUAUGAAAUCAUUGAACUUGACUUUAAAAUAAAAUAAUAAAAUAUUAACUAUUAAUAAAUCAGGCCUGUCUUUAGCUUCUACAAUUUAGUUAAAUCUUAUCGAACAGCCCUUGUUGUUAGUUCACAUGUUAUGUGUUGUAAUUUUAGUUGUGUUCAAGUUCAAACUUUAACAAAAACAUAAAUAUUAAAGCGAGUUUAACCAAGUGAUAUUGGUAUAAUACCAGUCCUCUUAAGUGAAUGGUUGAGUCUUCUAUCUCCGGUUGUUACACCAAACAAAAAGUAUAAAGUAUAUGAAAAACAUGUAAAAUUUGUUGGUUAAAUGUAAUUUACGAAUGAUUUGUAAUGUUUAACCGAGCAAAUUGCUUCUCUUAUUUUCUUAAUUGAAUAUUAUAUUGUAAGUUUACCAUUUAUUCAGAAAACCCUUUUAAUUUAGGAAAAUAAUAAUAAAGAAUAAUAUAAUAUUUCUCAAGAAGAAAAAAAAAACGAAGAAUAAUAAAUGCACAAAUAAUACAAGAAAUAAAAAUGGCCACAAUUAAAUGGUUUGAUCAAUACCCAUUAAUCAAUUUCUAACUGAAUGACGUUUCCUCUGACGUGGCACACAUCUGACGGAUGAAAAAUUUAAGGUGACAAACAUCUAAUGGAUGAGGUAAGCUCAUGUUGGCGAUGUGACAUUAUUUUGGUUGAUGUGUUUUUUUUUUUCAUUUGGCAUUACUCCCUAACGUAAGGUAACGUCGUAUAAUACACAUAGACAUCCGUUAGCAAUUUUAAUUAUGUAAAAUAAAGAUUAUCUAAGUUUAGCUAAAUCUUGGCAUAAUAAUGUUGAAGUUUUGUAUUUAUCAAAUUUGAAUGAAAUCAUUGUAUAAAAUAAAUGGAAAGAUAAUUUAUUUGAAUAUAUUUGUUAACUACUUUUUUAGAAAAAUCAUAACGUAUUUUGUUACAUUUUUGUUUGUUAAUAUAUUUGUUAACUUCUUUGUAAUGUAGCAUAGUUUUAUCUCUUUUUUUGUUAUUUAAUUUAAGAAAUGUAAAUUUAGUGUAGUUGUUUAAUAUUUAUGAGGUAUAUUUUUUUUUCCUUUUAUAUACACGUAUAAAUUUAAAGUUUUACAUUGUUGUCAAAACAAGUACAAAUCAACUGACAUUAAGCAUAUACUCAAGAGUCGAAUUUUAUAUUACAAUUUGUUCAAAAAAAAAGUUUUAUACUAUGCUUAUGAGUUUAUAUUAAAAUAGAGAUUUGUAUUUAAAUAGUAUAAUCACAACGACAAUAUUAUGUUGAACGACUCAAAUUUUAAAAAAUAUUUGAAAACCAACAUUUUGGCUUAAGUCGCAUUGAGCUUUACCACAUUUGAAUACAUCAUCUUGUUAGAAAAAUGAACGUCACAUCCAUCGCAAAAAGGCUUUUUUUAAAGGGAAAUUGCAUCAUAUGGAAAAGAAAAAAAAAGUAGUCAAUAACUUUUUUUUUUUUUUUGUCUAUUGCAUAUAUGAUAAAUAUGACAAGUAAUUAGAUAUAUUAGAUGACUAUCAGAAAUCUAUCGAUUUUUAAAUUUACUAAUUUUUGCAAUUCAGAAAAUGUAGUGACACCAGUUAUAUUCUCAUGAAACUUUUUACUAUUUUUGUAAACGUCUUAUUUUUUAAUAUAUGUUUAUUUCAAUUGUUUUUUAUAACUGUUGUUUACUUCUUUUAAAGUUGCCUAAGAAUACAACUUUUUUUAUUUAUCCAACUAAAUCAGAAAUUGAGAGAAAACAAGCUUAAAUUUCAAAACAAAUAAAUGAAAUGCUUACUAAAACGACCUUUUGUUUUAUUUGUUCGUUUUACAUUAUUGAAUAGAAAAGUUCGAAUUCUUGGAUAAAUUUAGAAAACAUUUGUUUAAAAACUUGUUGUCUCCCUCUUUUUUUAUUUUCAAAAUUUGGUUUGUUAGGUUAAAAAACAUAAGAAACUGCAUUAGGUGAUAAAUUAGUUUAGCGAUUUUGCAAAAAUAUCUUUAAAAUUUGUGAUUUUACAAAUAUAACAAAACUAACGAAAUUCAUAGUGUGGGUUGAACUUCUUUUUUUACAAAUAAUAAAGAUACGUGCUAAAUACUUAAUUACCAUAACUUGUUUGACCAUUUUUAUAAGUGCCUCUUCACGUAUUCUUUAAAAUAUAUAACAAAGUAAAGAAUAUUAAAAUUGAAAGAGACAUUUUAAGUUUUGUUUAUAAAUUCCAAAUACUACCUAAAAGUUGUAAGUAAAUUAGAGUAUCCCAUUAUUUCUAUUUUAUUAUUUUCCUUUUCACUCUUAAAGAUUUUGAUUUCAAUUUUAAUAUAAACAUGCAUCACAACAAAGUAUGAGUUUUUUCUCGAUAGAAAAGUAAAUCAAAAUACUUAUAAAUAUAACAAGAUUAUAUCAGUUUAUUUAUAAAAAUAUUUGUAAAUAUUUUCAUCAUUCGAUUGAUUUAAAACAAAUGUUCAUCAAAUAUAUGAUCAAAAAAUGAAAAUAACAUAUAUAUACACAUAAUUUAAAGAAGAAUUUUAAACAAUAAUAAAUUUAACAAAAUAUUUACAAUCUACACUGAAUUCUUUGACAUAUUCAUAUGUUAGCAGUAAAAGACUAUUUCAUUACAAGAAUAUAAAAUUUUAGUGUAACUUGUAAAUAUUUUAAUUUAUUUUGAUAUUUUAAAAAAUAGUGGUUAUUUAAAAAGAAAGAACUAAAUGUUACAAAACGGCCCACAUAAGCCCAAAUUUAAAAGUUGAUUGAGAUAAUUUAAAGCUUUAUUAAAUACACAACAUAUUAAUGUGCAUGAAGAUUGAGGAGCGCACGUGUCAAAAGCCGAACAAGUACAGAUCUCAUCUAACUUACAUCAUUUUGUUUUAAUAUUUCACGCAAAGAACAAAAGAAAAGUUUUUUUCUUUUUUAUUUAUUUUAAAUUUAAAUGUUGAGGCCAAAACAAUUAAAAAAAGUAAAAUUAUCAAAAGGUUUUCAAUUGACUUUAGCGUUUGUAUAAUUAGUUUUGUCUUAAAUUUAGUUUGGUAGAAUUUUCAUUACUUUUUAUUAGCAUUUUUGUUAUAAAUUUUAAAAAUAUAUUAUAAUUAUCUUAAUAAAAUAUUUUUUAAAAAUAAUUAGAAUAUUUACCAAACUAUAACAAAAUUUAAUUUUGAAUUAUAUAAUUUAGAGAAGGUAUCAGUUUAAAAUCAAUCUCUCUUAUAUUUGGUUAAAUUUAUUAUUUUUGACAAAAUUUUAUUUUAAUAAAAACCAACGUUUAUAAAUAGGAUAUUUUAUUAUUUAAAAAAUAUAAAGAUGAAAAUGGAAGAAAUUUGAUAGAAAAGAAAUUAAAAAAAAGAAAAAGAAAAAUGUCAUCGUCAUUAAGAAUUAAGAUUGAUUUACUAUGGGAAGAAAAGAGAAAAGAAAUAUUAAUUUAACGCAAAUCUUUCUGAAAAGAGAAAAGAAAAAAGAUUCAAGAGAGACGCAAAGAGGAGAUAGAUAAAGACAAAGCUCAGAUCCUCCAUUAACAACCGCCAUAUCCAAUUCUUCUUUGUUUACAGUAUUUUCUUUAUUUCUUCCUUAAUCAAAUUUCUUGGAAUAUUCCACCACUUUCUCUCUAAACCCCAAAACUCAUUUCCAUUUUUGUUCCCUUUUUCCCCCUCAUUUUCUUUUGGUUCUUUCGGACAUUGGAGCUUGAAUUGAUUGAAAGCUAAGUCAAUCAAUCCUUUUCUUCUUUUUCUUCUUUUUCUUCACCAUGAAACCUUAAGUGUAAACGUGACGGCAACAACGAAAGUGUUUCCUUCAAGGCCAAUCAAAAAUUUAUUUCCAUUUUUUGGUUCCGGAAUUUACACUCUCUGCCAUACACAAUCAUGGCCUUCUGCAAUUGAUCGUUCGUCUUCGGGAAUUUGGUGAUCCGCGUGGGUGAAAUUACCUGCAAUGUGUUUUCGUAAUGCGGCUUCUAAUUGGGGAUUUGAUUCUUAACAACUUCGUUUUCUGUUUAUUUGGAUCUCAACCCCAAUUUCUCAAUGGCCUUAUUUCGCAAAUUCUUUUAUCGGAAGCCACCCGACGGGCUUUUAGAGAUAUCCGAAAGGGUUUAUGGUAUGUCCUACUUAGGUUAACUGUUGAUUGAAGUUUGGUAUUUUUGGUUUGAAAGUAAAAUGGGAGUGUGGAUUUUACAAUGAUUGUUUGCUAAUCAUUCUUAAUUGUUGUUUUCCCAAUGUAUCUUGCAUGGUGAAGGGGUUAUUAGUUCUGGAAAUUGUUAUGGUUUUGGACUAAACGGAAUACCAAGUUACAUUAUGGUAUUUUAUAGGAAAAUUUGUUACUAAAAGUUACUCUAGCUGUUGUUUUUGUGGGCCUUUAUAAUCAUUGAGUUGUCCCUAUUUGGAAUUUAUAAGAUGAACCCCUUUGCUGUAAUUUCGUAGAACUUGCUGUUGUGGACUCUUUUGUUUCCUUUCAAAGCUAGACCUCAAGUUAUCUUCCUUCUUCCUUUAAAGUUACAGUCAUUAUCAUGCAUUAACUCUUUCAUUGUAUGUGCAUUCUUUUUCUUAACUUGGAUUGUGUAUGUUCAAGUUUUUCCCCUUAAAGAUACUGCAAAUUCAAACCUUAACUCCCCAAAACAUUCCGUGCGUUAAAUUGUGAGUAUUGAAUGAAUAUUUCAAGUUUUUAAAUCCUUUCCUCUCAAACUUGUGAAUGCACGUGUAGUUUUGCUUGAUUGUAGAUGAUUGGGAAGUAGGAUAAACCAGUGAAUGUAUGUGCAGUUUUCGACUGCUGCUUUACAACGGAGGUGUUGGAAGAAGACGAAUACAAGGUCUAUAUUGGAGGGAUUGUGGGGCAACUUCGUGAGAGUUUGACAGACGCCUCAUUCAUGGUGUUCAAUUUCCGAGAAGGGGAGCAUCAUAGCCUCAUUACUAAUAUAUUAUCUGUAUAUGAUAUGACUGUCAUGGACUAUCCUAGACAAUAUGAAGGCUGCCCUUUACUCACCAUGGAGAUGAUCCACCAUUUCUUGAGAUCCAGUGAAAGCUGGCUCUCACUUGGGCAACAGAAUGUACUUUUAAUGCACUGUGAAAGAGGGGGGUGGCCAGUCUUGGCUUUCAUGUUGGCCGCUCUUCUGAUUUACAGGAAGCAGUAUGCAGGGGAGCAGAAAACUUUGGAUAUGAUUUACAAGCAAGCACCUAGAGAACUUUUGCAGUUGAUGUCACCACUUAAUCCAUUGCCUUCACAGUUGAGGUAUCUUCAAUAUGUAUCAAGAAGAAAUGUGGGCUCUGAAUGGCCUCCUCUUGACAGAGCCCUUACACUAGACUGCAUAAUUAUUAGAUGUAUUCCUAAUAUGGAUGGGGAGGGUGGUUGCCGCCCAAUAUUUAGGAUAUAUGGACAGGAUCCGUUUAUGGCUGCUGAUCGAACUUCCAAAGUAUUGUUCUCAACCCCCAAAAAGAGUAAACUUGUUCGUCAGUAUAAGCAGGUGAUCGCGGUUUUCCCUUUUAAAUAGAGGAGUAUUGCCCAUUUUUUUAUUCUCUAUACUUAUUAAUUUUUCGUGUCUGUUGGGAGUUGUUUUGUUUUAUCUGUUCAUCCAGUCUUUUCGAUGCCAAGGCUUAUUAAUUUCUGCUGAUUGGUAUUGGUAUUUCUAUAAACUUCUCUUCUUUUUAGUUAUAUGUUGUUCAUCCAUAUGGGUUAGGUCGGAAAAUUUUGAACAAUGAUUUUCUGUUUUUAUGCCCUGUUCUCUCUCUCUUUUAAAAAACGUUUUAUAGUUUAAUGUAGCUGGGAUCAUAUAACUAGUCUUCAUUGAAGUAAAUGCCAACCGUGAAACUUAAAUGGUAAGAGAAGACAUAUAGGAUUUUACUUCCCAAGGAAUCAUUCCUGGUUUUGUCAUUGGAGGAAGCCUGCAAAAUUUUUGAUGUGUAUUGUUGCCAGCUUGUAGGAGCUGACUGUUUUUUUUUAAUUCUUUCACACUUUGUUACAGGUAGAUUGUGAACUAGUUAAAAUUGAUAUCCAUUGCCAUAUCCAAGGUGAUGUUGUUCUUGAAUGUAUAAGUUUGGACAAUGAUCUGGAAAGGGAGGAAAUGAUGUUCCGAGUUAUGUUUAACACAGCAUUUAUCAGGUCAAAUAUUUUGAUGCUUAACCGUGAUGACAUUGAUAUUUUAUGGCAUGCAAAGGAUCAAUUUCCAAAGGAUUUCAGAGCAGAGGUAUGUUCGCUUACUGUUUUCUUUUCAUCCCCCUUUUCUCCGUUUCAUUCUUUCUUAAAUUAUUCUAAUUUUUUAUUGUGUUUAUCUUCUCAAGAAUAAAUAAGUUACGUGUUUGGAUGAAGGUUCUUUUCUCAGAGAUGGAUUCUUCCGCUUCACUUAUUUCAAUUGAAUUGCCAAAUAUUGAAGAGAAAGAUGGCCUUCCAAUCGAAGCCUUUGCUCGAGUUCAAGAGAUCUUUAGCAAUGUGGACUGGCUAAGCCCAAAGGCAGAUGCAGCUCUUAACGUGCUUCAGAAAAUAACAGCUUCAAAUUUACUUCAAGAGAAGCUGCUUAGUUCUGGCUCUUUAGACAGAAGGCAAUUACUUGACUUAUCUCUUGAAAAACUAAUCUUGGAAUCAGAGACAUCUGAAGAAAAUAUUAGAAGUCCCCGAUUGAAGAUACAGACAAAGUCUAAGCUUUCUUCCGAAUUAUCUAAAGCUGCAAGUUCAGUGAUAUCAAAACUUGAACCCUCAGAAUUGCAGGUUGCUCUCCAACUACCACCUCAGUCUAAAAUAAUCACUCAACGAAUACCUCAACCGUCAUUGUCUACGCCAGUCUCCUUCCGUAGUUCUAUGCAAGGUUCACCUCGCCCUAUACUAAGAUAUCACAGUGCACCCUCAGCUCUUGGCAUUACAGCUUUACUACAUGAUCAUUCCGAUUUUAUUGGUAAAGAACUUAUACAUUCAGGGACAACAUCUUCACCAUCAUCUGCUCGGUUGAGUCCAACUGCUCUAGAUUCACCUAGAGAUAUUCAACGUAGUAACCUUCCUAUUUCUCCUCUCCCUCUAGUAUUAGACGCAAGAUCUUCAUUAGAAAAUUCUUUGACCACCGCAUCAACUACAACCAUUCCUGAUCCACUGCCCCUUCACCAACUUUCUUUGAAACCUAUUAAAUAUUUAGUUUCUCAACCGACUCAAACCACAUCACAAGUGAGAAGUCAAUUAUCACCAUCUUCAUUACAACCAACUUCUGCCUCUUAUAUUGGGGAAUCCCCACCCUCUCUCAAUGAUAGCGAAGCUUCAAUAUCAUCUUCCUCUCCUUUGUCAAGAUCAUCUCCAUCUUCUUGUACUAAAGAAUUAAUUUCCGUUUCCACUCCUCCUCCUCCUCCUCCCCUCCCCCAUUUUGAUUCACCUUCAGCUUUAGCAACAUCUCCACCUUCUAGUAGGACGAAUGGUUCGAUUUUCCCAUCCUCACCACAACCGCCUUCUACGACAAAACUGUUAUCUUCUAUCAAGAAAACAACUCAACCUGCUCCUCAAUUUUCUUCGUCUGAUGAUCAUCUAGUUUCUUCAGAGUCACCUAUAAAGAACUCGAAGAGUGUCUCUCCCCUCCCCCUCCCCCUCCUCCUCUCCUCCUCCUCCUCCUACUCCUACUCCUCCUCCUCCUCCUCCUCCUCCUCCUCCUCCAUGUUUUAGCCCUAACUUAGGCACUAGUGUUGUCUCGCCGACAUCAGUGCCUCCGCCCCAACCUCCACCUCCACCUCCUUCAUGGAAGGACUCUACGAACACAUUCAUGCAUGUCCCCCCAGCUCCACCUCCAGCCCCACCCUUGCCUCCAUCUUCUUUCAGUUCUACAUUUACUUGUGGUUCUAGUAUCACGCCUUUAGGGCCACCACCACCGCCACCACCUCCUUCAAGUCAUGCACCACAAGAUUUUGCCACAGUAGUUAGGACCUUGAUGAAUGCAUCUGGCCCUCCACCUCCCCCACCUCCCUCGUUACAUUCAUCUCUAGGUUCUAAUACUGUAUCUUCAGUGCCGCCCCCGCCACCCCCUCCUAGUCUUGCAGUAAAUGUUGCAACAACCGUUAACUUGACACAUGUCAGCCCCCCUCCUCCUCCUCCUCCACCAUUAGCAAAUUCUGGACCCACCUUAUGUCCAGGUGUUGCAACGUCAGCUCCGCCUGCUCCACCUCCUCCAGGUUUCUCAAUGGAAGGUUCUGCAACACAUGCUCCACCUGCACCCCCUCCUCCAGGUCUCAGCGGUAAUAAACUCUCAAAUGUCAAUGGUACUUCCUCACAGUCUCACGUUGGCGUUAAUAACAGCAACAUACCUUCUGUUCCUGGACCACCUUCCAGUGCUCUAUUCAAUGCAAAGGGACGUGGCCUUGGACGUAUGAACUCCAAAAACCAGUCUCAACCUAAAAGAUCCAAUCUAAAGCCUUAUCACUGGUUAAAAUUAACGAGGGCCAUGCAAGGAAGCUUAUGGGCAGAGACACAAAAGACCGAUGAAGCUUCCAAGUACGUGUCAUAUAUUUUAGUUCUCUUAUAUGUUAUAAAUUUCCUUCUGUUAAUUUAGUUAAUUUUUAUGUGAUAGAGCUCCGGAGUUUGACAUGUCAGAACUUGAAAGUCUUUUCUCUGCAGCUGCACCAAAUUCAGACUCUGGAGGUUCGGGAAAUUCAAAUCGCCGAGCCUCAGGGCCAAAAUCAGAUAAAGUUCAUUUGGUAAUCAAAGAAAUAAACUUAUUGUCACAUUUAUUUCUUUUGAAGAAUCGAGUCAGUUUUGACAUAAUUUUAGCCAUCUAAUAAGCUCAAUCCGAUUGACUGUGUUCUGUUAGUGAAAGAAAAUAGUAUUUCUUAAUUUGCGUACCACCCUACAUUUAAGUAUCAACUGAAGCAUAGCAUAGACUCUUCUCUAAGUUUAUACCAAUACAGUUACAUCUACCUGUGGUUGAGUUUCUCAUCAGCAUGGGACAAAUUUAAGUUGGCUAGUUCAUUUGUUGCAAACUCAAUUUAUGUUUCAUGUUUCUACUUGUUCUGGCAGAUUGAACUUCGCCGGGCCUAUAAUUGUGAAAUUAUGCUUUCUAAAGUUAAGAUUCCUUUGCCUGACAUGAUGGUGAGUGAUGAUUUGCCUUUUCUUUGAAGCCAAACCGAUUGUUUCGAACAAUUAUGAACCGGAUACUAAACAUCUUGAUCAGUUCGUUGAAAAUAUAAUACAUUGCAAUGUUUCUGAUGAUUUGUUUUGGUAUUACCAUUCUCAGUGUUCAGUCCUUGCAUUGGAUGACUCGGCAUUAGAUGUGGAUCAGGUUGACAACCUAAUCAAGUUUUGUCCAACAAAGGAAGAAAUGGAAUUACUAAAGGUGCUUCUUUCCUUCUGUGCAACUGCUUACAUUCGUUGGCCUGAAUCAUAUUGCAUUUCCUUUAGUUUGCACUAAUUCUUUGUGGUUGGCUUUAACCUCUACCUUAAUUUUGUUUGAGACUCUUCUCUGACAUUGAUUUUUUUGCUUUUACAUUCAGGGGUACGGUGGGGAUAAGGACAACUUGGGAAAAUGUGAACAAGUGUGUUAAUACUUUCUCUUUCAUUCUUUCACCUUCCAGCUUGCUCCGUUUUUUUUUUAAUUUAUUUUUUAUAAAGAUUAUAGGCAACUUAUCAUGCUACUCAAUCCUUAUUCCCAUGUUCUCAUUUGAACCAUGGCUUGGGAAAAAAAAGAAAUCCUAUUUUAGCAUCUGAGUCCCUUCUUUUAUAUAAUUAUAUGCUUUGGUUUUCUUGUUAUUUAGAGAAUCUGUUUGCUACAAAAAAUUAACCUGCUUGUGUCUUCUUCCCAACAGUUCUUUUCUGAAUUAAUGAAAGUCCCACGAGUAGAGUCCAAGCUAAGGGUAUUUUCUUUCAAGAUACAAUUCCGAUUGCAGGUGAGGGGACAACCUAUUUAAUUAUUCCCUUCCUUUUUCCUCUUUCCUUUUUUAUAUACUUGUCACCAAUUUCACUAUUUUCACUUUCUAGGCCUCUGACCUUAGAAAUAGUCUGAAUACUAUUAAUUCGGCAUCUGAAGAGGUAAAUGAUAUUCUUUUAAAUUUCCUUAAUUUAGGUGUGUUGUUUGAACAUUUUCACAUUUUAAACCCUUUUCUCCAUGUGCUAGUCAGAUCAGAAGUUCGGUAAAGUUGAAAAGGGUAAUGCAAACUAUCCUUUCACUGGGUAAUGCUUUGAACCAUGGAACGGCUAGAGGUGAGAGUCUUUUCCCUUAACAAAUAUGCAUUGCAGUUUUUACCGUCUAUAAUAUGUGUGGACGGUGGCGAAACAUUAUUUUGAAAAAAAAAAUUCCUUAAUCUCUUUAGGUAAUAUAGGUGCCUCACUUUCAAAAGUGAAGGUUAAAAUAAUUACAAUAAGUAUUUGUUAUAGAAUCAUAUCCACGGUUUGCAUCUUUAAGAAUUGACCAUAAUAAUUAAGAAGGUAUUAUUUGUGAUGGCAACAUAAAGUUCAUUUAUUAUUAUUAAUAUUUGUUGGAGUUCAAAUUAAUGCACGUUCAUGACCGUACAUUAUUUUUCAUAAUUCUCUGGUUUAAUUGCAACUUCUUUUGAAUUCUAAGUCAUUUUUAACUUGUACCAAUCUUAUAUCAUCAUCAUUAGUUUCAUGUACCCAAAAAAGAAAAAAAAGAAAACCAUUGAAGAAGGGAGCCCUCCUAAACAAGGAGCUCCAACUAUAUGAAUUAGAAUCUAUAAAAUAGUUACAAAAGGUCUACGCACAUAGGGAAAUGUAGUAUUGAACAAUCAACCAAGCAUCAUUUGGAUCCUUCUUCAGCCCUCUAAACACUCAAUCGUUCCACUCCCUCCAAAGAAUCCAAAGAAUAACGCACACCCCAAGAAUCCCAAAAAAAGCAUUAUUGAUUACAUACACACAUACAUACUACAGACAAAUGGUUCUAGAUAGAACUCUACUUAUAAACUAACUUUUUUAGCGUAUAUUUACAAGUAUGCAAUGCAUAAGGCACUAGAUACGUUAAAUUGAAAAGCUUAUAACUUUAAAGUAGUACACGUGGUUACUGGUUCUUACUCUUUUCGCUUUAUAAUUGUGUACACUGACAAUUUUUAUUCAUGCUAUGGAAUGUCUUUUGUUUCUGUUUUACUAUUAGAAUUUAGAACUUUUGAAUGGUAUCACCAAGACCUAUGAGUUAUUUCCAUUGUUCAUGUAGGUUCCGCUAUUGGAUUUCGGCUUGAUAGUCUUCUCAAACUCACUGAUACACGAGCCAGAAACAAUAAGAUGACUCUCAUGCAUUAUCUAUGUAAGGUAGACUUCUCCUAUUUUGCUUGUCAAAUAAUUUUACUGGCUUGCACUCAGUGUAUUUCGGUCUUCUUUGUAUUAUAUUUCAGUAAGAACAUCCUUCUUCUAGUGAAGUAAACUCCCGUCCCACCUGCAUUUAUUACCAAUGAUUUGCUAUAAUUUUCAUGUCAAUGCUAUAAUUUCUUGAUAGUUCUGCAGAAUGAUGAAGUCUCAACAUAUAACGUGAGUAAAUAGUAAAGUUGACCAUGAAAGAACCCUUUCCAAGCGUGGACCACAAUCCAUUUUCUGAUAAUGAACAGAACACCUCAACUUCUAAUAUAGCAACAAAGAUUGAUAGUAAUCUGACUGUUAGAACUAUAUAAAGGUAGCAUUGGACAUGCACUCGCACACGCAUACAAAAAAUCUAAAUGGCUGGUGGAAUGGACUUACUGAAUUGAUGAAAUGGACAAUGAUACCCUUAAGAUUCGGUAUAACCUGCCAGUUUAUAAAUAUAUGGUAUCCCACUGAGAUUAGUUUUAUUAUUUGAGAGGAAGAAAAUUUAAUAUGCUAGAUUUUUAAUUUUUCCACUUUUAUAUUCAGAAGUUGAUGAGUCAACGGUUAGCAUUUGUAGAAUGCUAAUACCCCUCCUUUUGCUUUGUGCUUGCUGAAAAGGGAGGGAAGAAUAAAAUGAAGUUUCCAUGCUAUUAAAGCCACUUUUAAGAUUACGUUGAUGAGGAUUGGAGUUCUGUGGCAUAUUUUAUACACGUAUAUGUUAAUUUGUGAGAUAUCUACCUGAUCGAUUUGCAGGUUCUUGCUGAAAAGCUGCCAGAACUUCUAGAUUUUCCGAAGGACCUUGUGAGUUUGGAAGCUUCUACGAAGGUAGAACUUCUUCAAUUGUUUAAUUUCUUUGCGGUUGUGACCAAUUUCCAUUGCUAUUCUGUAGGUAAAGUUUAUCGUUUGGUUAUGAUGCAGAUACAACUGAAGUACUUGGCAGAAGAAAUGCAAGCCAUAAGCAAAGGGCUUGAGAAGGUUGUCCAGGAAUUGGCCAAUUCAGAGAAUGAUGGACCCAUUUCUGAAAUUUUCUGCCGGGUACUGUAAUAUUUAAUGAAUGGUAGUUUUAUUUUUUUAAAGUUCUAAAUUAGUUUGUUUAAGACAUGGUAGUUUACCCGAUCUUACAAUUAAUUUUCAGACUUUAAAAGGCUUCCUUUCUCAUGCCGAGGCAGAAGUGAGGUCUCUUGCCUCUCUUUAUUCUAAUGUGGUAUGUUUGGUACUCUUUCCUUCAAAUUUAUUAUACAUCCUUAAAGCAGCAUUGUCAAUUCUCCAACUAUGGGAAUUUUCAGGGUAGAAAUGCCGAUGCACUGGCUCUUUAUUUCGGCGAAGAUCCUGCACGUUGCCCUUUUGAGCAAGGUAUUUGCUACUACCACUUAACCAUAUCCCUUCCUUUGCCCCAAUCAAGAAUAGAACUUUGCCAAUACUUGCUAUUAUUCUCGAACAACUUUGAAUUGAAAUGAAUAUUAUUGCUAUUAUCCAUAUAAUCUGUUGCUAAAAUCCAAAGCAUUAUUGUUUGGAAUCAGUUGUUUCUACACUGUUCAAUUUUGUGAGGAUGUUUGCGCGAGCGCACGAAGAAAACUGUAAGCAGCUUGAAUAUGAAAAGAAAAAAGCACAGAAAGAAGCGGCAGAAAGGGAGAAGUUGAAGCUCGGUACUGCGAAAAAGGAGUCAGGAUUCUUAAUGCAGACUCAAAUCUAGCAUAGCAACGUCAAAGCUAUCUGAAGUGUUCUAACAAACAUUUCUGCAACAUUACUAAGUUAUCCUCCAUAAGCUGAUAUUACGUUAUGACCAAAGUAACCCAUAACCAAUUGAUCGUGCACAAUCGAAUAACGCCAGCGUCAAUGUCGCUCAUCUUGGAUAGAAGGACGUUUCAGAGGCACAGGAUGUAGAAUAAGUAGCCAGUGCUGGGAUAAAACUAAAAACCAGUAAGUCUUCUACCAAACUUUUGUAAUAUUUCAUAACAACAGAAGAAAGAAGAAAUUAAAUAAUUAAUAGCCUUAUAGGAGUGUGAAACUCAUCAGCCAUUGUUGCUGUCAUUUGUUUGUGUAAUGAGUUACUAGUAGAGUGGUAGAUAUUCUUUGGUGAAGCUUAAGGAAGUCAUGUGUUUGAGGCAGAAGCACUCAAAUGAUGGGACUUUCUUGGUUAGAUCAGAAUUUUGGUGUAAAAUAUAUCAUAUAUGUAAUUGUAGUUUUGUUCAUGUUCUAUAUAUAAUUACAUUCUUUCCCCACCAAUUCUUUCUUUUUUCCUUAAAAAUAACAAAACUGAUGUGGGGUGGGGAGGCCUUUUGGACUGUGGUAGGGUUCAUGUGUGUAACUAUUGUACAUCUUACUGUAAAUUAAAGAUUUGGGCAUUUGAAUUGGGUCUAACGAGAAAUGAGUCGUGGAACUUUUAAUUUUGUUUUUUAAAAAAGAAUUAAAAUUAAGUUUUUAUGUUUUAUAGAACACAGUAUAUCCAUAAAUUUUAAAAAUUUUAAAAAUUCAAAAGUUCAGACUUUAAAAAGCUAUAAUAUUUAACUUAGAAGUUUAAAUUUAUUUUUCUCUAAUUAAUUUUUUUCUUCCUUUCUUACUCGAAGAUUAUUAUUAGAGAAAUUUUUGUUAAUAAUAACUUUUUUUUGUUAAUAAUAAAAAUUGUUUGAACAUAAUAAAAUUUUAAAUUCUACUAGAAUCUUCUAUCAAUGUUAAAUUAUAUCGAUAGGAUGAUUGUGAAAAUCAUGUAAAAACAAAUGAUUAUUCUAAACCCUAAAUUCUAAUCUAUAAACAUUGAAUGAAGUAAGAUAAAUAAAAUCUGGAAUAAAUUUUGUUAUAUUUUGUAAAUUUUUUGGUUUAUUGUACUAAAUUUAAAAGGAGCGUUUGCAUUUGGCAAAAUAGCAAAAAAAAUUAUGAUAAAAUAAGGUCAAUGUCACAUUUUCUAAAUUACAAAAAUAAUAAAUGUAAAAGUAAAUAAUUCUCUACUAACUCUUCCAUAGCCAUCUUAUAUCAUUUAUUAACUUCCAUCUUAUAUCAUUUAUUAACUUUAUUUGUCCUAUUCACGUCAUGGAAAAAAAAAGAUGCCAUGAGUUUUUUUAAAAAAAAAAUUUUGUUGCAAUUUUUUUAUUUAAAAAUGGUUCUUUUUUCUUCUUAUGGCUAUGUUAACAUGCCAUUUGGGAUAGUGCAAAUAUCUAACCAAUCUAUGUGCACUAAAUUCAACACAUUAAUUACAUUACAUACCAUAUAACUAAAAAUAACCAUAUUCUUAAGUCUAAAAAUGCAACUAUUUUUCUAAGAAAAAGAGAGAAAAUUACACGUUACAUGUAAUGGUUGACUACGAAUAACAUUUAUAUUUUUUUCCAUGAUAAUAGACAAAACUGAAUGUCUAUGAUAGAGAAAGAUUUUAAAUAGGAAAGACAAAAAAAGGUGGACGUGUAAAACAUUCAUAACAUAUAUAUUAAAUAUCAUCUUGGUUCUUAUACUUUAUAAUUAAUUUAAUUCUAAUUCUUAUACUUUUCAAAUGUUCAACUAACUUGAACUUUCAAUAAAUCUUAAAUUUAGACUCUAUUACUAGUUUGUCAUCGUAGUUUUUUCAUUAACAUUUUUAUUAUAAAUUUUAAAAUAUUCAUAUAUUGUACUUUGUGAAUGAAAAUCAUUAUAAUUAUUUAAUCAAUUUCAAUAAAAUUAACGUCGACCGAUUCAAUUUAGGAUUUAUUAGAGUUAUAUGGACUAAAAUUGAAUUUUUUUAGAUAUUAUUAGUGAUAGAAAGGAUGGGAAAAGAACAAAUAGGGAAGAAAAUAAUGAAAGAAAAAUGGAAGUCAAUGAGCAUUGAAAUUCAAACAAUUAUUAAUCCCAAAUAACCUUUGAAUUGAAAUUGAUAGAUUCACAAAACUCCAAACUCCUUUUCACGCACGACAAGUUUAUGUAAUUGUGUCCGUCAUUAAUUAUUUUCUCUUCAGUCAACUUUUGCGGACGCUUUUUCUUUUCCCAUUAUUUCUUCCACUUUCCAUACUUCGCUCUCUUAUUCUUAUGUUUUCUUCUCCUUUUCCUUUCCAUCAUUCCACACAAACCCUAAUGCAUUAAUUAACUCUCUCGAUAUUCCAUAUCCCGUAGACGGCUCGAGUCCGCCUUCAACUUUGAGAGAGAGAGCCAACCGGCCAAUAAUACCCAAUAAUUGUAGUUAGCUCAAUUGAUAAAUGCAUGCAUGUCGUCUCAACCAUUUUGAUAUGAAGAUUCGGUAUCCAUAAUGGACUCGAGUCCUUCAACUGUGUGAGAGAAAUUAGCUUAUUUCAUGAUUUGAUGUAGUUUGGUUAAACUAAACUUUAUAUGGAUUGUUUAUAGAAUGUCUGUGAUAAAUUUUUCUAGUACAACACAUGUGAUAAUAGAGAGAUUUGAACUUUUGGCAUCAUUAAUUGUUUAGAGAAAGUGCUUAAUUCUUAGGUAUUGUUACAUAGUCCUUUAACUAAUCAAGCUAUAUUUAAGUUAAUAUUUCUUACCUAUCUUAAAGUGACUCAGUUGGUGAGGUUGGAUCAAACCAAAGGAAUCAUAGUUGAAAAUUUUAAAAUUAAUUUAAGGGGCAUUUGUGAAACUUUUAAAAUCCUCGAGAUAAGAAAAAAGUGGAGGAAAAAAAAACUAAUCAAAUUGGCUAAACUUAAGACUUUUUCCCUUCACUACAACAACCACAAAACAUGAACGAUCGAACCUUUGAUUUGUACGAAAAAAAAUCAUGUCAAUUAUAAUUGAGCUUAACUCAAUUUGACAGCUAACUUUAAGUCCUAAUAAAGACUUUGGUAAAACAAUACAACAAAUGAUUGAGUUGUUUUAAUUUCACAUUUCCUUGCUAAAGUUUUAGGCUAAUUAUUAACAAUUUAUAUUCUCUCUACUUUCAAUUUUGUAAUAGUUUAAUUUCUAAACUUUAAUAAAUAAUUAUAUCUUAACCAAUAUAUUUUUCAUUUCUUAACGACUUAGUUCCCUCCUUUGAAAAGUAUUAUUAAUAAUUCAAAAAUAGUUUGAAAACUACUUAUGAAUCAAACUUCGUUUGUAACAAGUAACAAUAAUGACUUAACCAAUACAUUUUUCAUUUCGGAACAAUGUAGUAAUAGUAAUAAUUACAAAAAAGGUUUGAAAGCCACUUGGAAAUUAAACUCCGUUCGUGAAUUAUAAAGACGUAUUACGUCGUCCCUUAUUCCAAUUGUUAUACAUUCCAAAGUUUACAAACUAAAUUAGUUACUAAUCAACUAUCUAAGUACGGACUAAAUUGAGAAAUGUUUUUCAACCUAUUUUGUAUAUAUAGCUUGAAUACUUUUCAUAUGUAACACAAGACUUUGGGAUAUGGAAAAAAUUUUGGUCAGGAUGAUUAAAUUCUUUUCAUAUCUCGAAAAUUUAUCAUCUGGGUCGUUUUGUUUUGAAUUUUUUUGGAACAAACUGAAAAGAAUUUGAAGAAUUAUUAGGGAUUUUUAUGUGAAAGCUAAUUUGAAUCCAAAUAGAAGGUCCUUAGUUGAUGAGAAUCUAGAUAUGGUCUUUGUUAAUUUGGACAAAAAAUUUCUACAUUAACCACAUAAUUAAUUAAAUCCUAGGUUUUUAAACUUAAUCAUUUCUCUCCUUAUCAAUAAAUAAUAAUACAAAAUUUUCAAAUUUCAAACUUCAAACUUUUAAUUAUGUUUUGAUUUUGACAUAUUCUAAUGGGAUUUGUAGAGUUUAAUAAUGGAGAUUGAUUUAGAAAAUUCUAAGAACACAAUUGUGGACGACCAUUUAGUCUUUUAUUUUGAAUUUUGAAAUUAAGUACAUAGAUAUAUACUUCGACUUAUAAGUUUAUUUUUGUCACCAAUUAUCCGACUUUUAGAAAUUAAAAAAUUGAUUUUGUUUUUUUAGGUUAAAGAUUUGGAAGAACAUUCAUAGAUUUUAAAAGCCACAUAUGGAGCUAGCUAGAAAAACACUUAAUGAUCAAAUAGUAUUUGUUACAAAAGUGGUUUUAGUUAAAGUUGUAUCUUAAAGUCACACCCUAUCCCUUCUCAUUUUAGCAUCUACACUAUUUUCUUAUUCCUCUUUAUGAAUAUUUGAAAAAACAUACUAAAAAUUUAAUAAAGAUAACCUAACUCUAUAUAAAGUAUACUAGGAAUUUCCACUGCUCCAUGAUGUUGAAUUAAGAACAAAAAAAAAAGUUAGAUUUAUUCUAACAAAAUUAUCACUUUAAUUUACGAUAAUAAAUGGUUGUUAAAUUUAUUAAAUUUUGACAAAAGAAAAUUGAAAUUCUUUAGGAAAAUUGAUCUUUUUUAUUGAUUAAUUAACUGAAACUGUCCUUUAAAUCUUUGGUAAUUUGAGUAGUAGAGCACUUACAUGAACACAUGAUUUAUGUAACCCAGCCAAUUAAAGUUGUCUCUAAUUAUCCAAACAAACAAAUAUUCACAAAAAUCUAGAGAUUGUACUUUAAAAGAAAUUAAACAAAAUGUAGAACACAAAGCCUCCUUUAGGAUUUUAGGGUUUUGAUUUUAGGGUUUAUUCUCUAUUUGUUUGGUUUCCCAAAACCUUGCCUGAAAUGGCACCAGCAACAAUGCCAGCAAAUUCAGGAUCCUUCUUUAAAGAAGAGGCCAUUUGUUGUACCAAAAACUCCUGCCAAACCGCUGCCUCGGCCGACUCCGAUGACGCGUAAUCUUUAGGACUCUUAAACAGCCCAUCUUCGUGGAUCAAAUCGAGGGUCACCGUAGCACAUGACGGCUUGAUCGUCGCUAAGACUGGGACUGCACUGCCUUUUCCGCCAUUGAUUGACCUUAAAGAAAGUUCAGUUUGGAAAUGGCUAGCAUGGCUGUGUUCUCCUUCGUAAGUUGCCACCAAAAUUGUUGGAUCUUCCAAACUUCUUUGCACCUAAAACAAACAAAUAACUUAUUCAUUUUAUUUACAUGGUAAUAGCUAAGAUUAAAUUACAAGUUCAAUUCUUAAUUAGAAGGUUAGAUUUUACUUCCUACCGUUUUAAAAUUUUUAAAUUAAGUUUUUAGAGUUUGAUAAAACCUUAUUACUACGCUAAGGUUUGAUAAAAUCGUAAAAAAUAGUCCAUAUUAUAGGAAUUAUUUACUAGUAUUUUAUCAAACAAUAGAACUGAAAUUAACUACUCAUUUCUAUGAAACUAUUGAUUUCUAAUUAUAGUUUAAGAGGAAAAGAAAGACCACAAUAGUUAUUCUUGUUUUUGUCAUUUUUUUAACAAUAAGGACAAAUUUUUUACCAAACUUAAUUCUACUUUCACAUUUUAAAAAACGAAAAAAAACAAAACCAUUAUCAAACGAGCAUGGAAUUCAAUCUCAACCGCUUUUAGGUAUUGUUUGAAAUUAAAGUUAUGGAGGGAUUACCUUCUUUUUGACAGGACAAUUUGGUGCAGAGGAGCAUUUGAAGUAAGCUCUUGGAGAAGGGUUGUCUCUUGUAACCUUUUGCCCAUACUUCCUCCAUUGAUACCCAUCUUUCACAACCUUUUUCAUUAAUAAUAUCAUUCAAUUAGGGUUUCUCAAUAUAUCAAAGCCUCAUUAAGAAAACUAAAGCUUCUGUCUCAAAAAUUAUUGUUAUUGGGAAUCUUUUCAUUAACCUCAUUAAUUAAGUUAUAAUGAUCUAUUGUUUUUUUAUUAAGGAUUCGAAGAAUACACGAUAGUUUGAACCUUUGAUUUCAAAGCAGAACACGUCAAUUACAUCUUGUUUAUGUUUACUACUUUUUUAUGUAUCUAUUAGCGUCUAAUUCUUUUUGUCAACAUCUCGACUAAUUUUAUUGGAUGUCAAGAAAACUCGUAGAAUAUUAAAUUACUACAUAUCGAUGACCAACAUCGAUUGAACUCAUAAUGAUUUCUUAGGCUUUAUAUUGGGCUGUGCCUUUUUAUAAUCACGAUCGAAUUAUUAACCUUAAUCUCUCUAUAGGAUCGAUUAUUUGAUAACACAUUCUCUAUUUCCCCCUAGGUUUUUAGAGCUUUGAAACUUGCCUAGCUAAUUCAAAUAAUAUAGAUAGGAGUAUACAUAUGUAUAUAUUGGGGAGUGGGGUUUUAAAAAUCACAUACCAAUCUCAAUCUUUAGUACAAGUCUCCUUGCCAAAUUAUUCAACAAAACAAACUACUAAAUCCAAGCUUUAAAAAGUCAACUAUUAUUUUUUCUCUUUUUUCCUUGAAAUUUGAAAAAAAAAAUUAAAAGAGAAAGCAAAACCAAGAAACCAAAACUGGAACAAUUCUUUUAUAUAUAUACCUCUCAAAAACAGAAAACGAAAAACCGAAACAUUAUUCGAUUCGAGUCGAACCUCUAAAACCUAGAUUAGGGUUUUGUUGAAAAACAUGGCAAUGGAAAAGAAAAGUUAGGGUUAGAAAAAUUACCAAGCUUGGAUCUGAUGCAUCUUUUUGCACAAAAACUUUAGAAACCUUUGAAUUUCCAUUUAAUCUUGGCCUCUUAAGCCACCUGUUAAAAUCUUCAUCUCUUGUGCUGCAAAUUCCUUCUAAAUUCUCAUAAUCUUCUUGCUCUCCUUCUGCCUUUCUCUUCCUUGAACAAACACCUUCCAUUUCUGUGCUUUGCUUUUGGUUGCUUAACAAAUACAUCACUUGUUUCUGAAGAUUAAUGUAUUUCUCAUACAUUAUUCUCAACAUUUGACUUAGCUUCCCAUUCUCUUGGAUUUUUCUAUCCAACUCCUGUUCUAAUGUCGGGCUCGAUUCGCUUCCCUGCAUUUGGAGAACUUAACCGAUGAGUGGCAAGAAUUUAUCCAUUAUACUCCCGAAGUAAGUUAUCAUGGACCCUUGAUUUUAAUCAAUUGAACUAUGUUCAAGUUGUGAGAUGAAAUUAAAAAUGAUGGUAGAGUGAUUUACUAUUUACUACGAUGAAAUUCCUUAAUUUUUCAAAAUAUAAAAUCCGAAAAUCUUAUCAAAAUACACACCUAAGUUCCAUUUUGUGGUGGUAUAAUUUCGUAGUAUAUAUUCUUGUUAGUUCAUUAGUUUUUUUUUUCUGUAAUAUAUAUAUAUAUAACACUCUCCAUUCACUUCAACCUAGAAAUAAAAACUAUAUUAUAUAUACAAUACAAUACAUUAGGGUUUAAAACCUUCAUAUAUAUAUAUAUAUAUAUAUAAAUACGGCCCACACACAUGUUAUAAUUAAGAACAAAUUAACAAAUGACUUAUGAGGUUAAUUACCUUAUUUGACAAGCUCAGUGCGAGUUUUUCUUUAUCUCCAUAGAUUUCUCCAUCAAAUUGAUCUCUUUUCUGCUUCAUAGAAACAAAAACAACAAUAUUAAUAAUAAUAAAUUAAACCAUAUCCAAAAUUCACCACGAAAAACAGAGAGAAGAAAUAGCCAAAUAAAAACUUAAACUUACUGAAGAAUGAUGAGCUACUUCAUCCAUAGUUGAAUUAGCAUAAGAAGAAUUAGGAUCCACAUUAAGGUCCAAAAAAAUAUCCAUCAUAUGAAAUUAAAUUAGUAAUUUCAGAUAUAUUUUUAAAAACUAUUAUUAUUGUUGUUGCAUGUAAAGAAGAAUUAGAAGAAAAUUUGAGGGUAUUUUUGUGAAGAAGAAGAAGAGGAAGAAGAAGAAGAAGAAGGGAAGAAGAAUUAUUUUGCAGAAAAAUGAGUGAUAAUGGGAAGAAGACUUAUAUAUAAAGAAAGAAAGAAAAGAAAAGAAAAGAAGAAGAAGAAGAAGAAGACGAAGAAGAAGAAGAAUUUGCAAAAAAGGGCCUGUGGGGUUGGGUGGGUCCCACAAUUCUGGAAGAAGUCGGUUUUGGAAUUCUUUUCUUAGUCCACCCCUUUAAUUUUCAUUAUUUACAUCACACUUCCUUUCUUUUUCUUUUCUUUUCCCUUUUUUUUUAUAAAUAAAACUUUGUUUUGUGGUAAUAUUGACUUUGAAAGUAGAGUGGAAUGGUUGACUUGAGUGUGUAAGGGUCCCACACGCUUUUGAAAAUGAAAUGACUUUUUUGCUCUCCAUUAUAUUUUUUGAAUGGAAAUUACAAAUUGUUUGAUUGCUUAUGUUUGAGUUAAAUUACGUGGAAUUGACACAAAUACUAAAUUUAAUAAAGUAUUUAUAACAUAUAUAUUGUAAAAUAUUCAGAUUUUAUCAACAAUGGUGGACACUAACAUGUUUUUAUCAAUAAUAUUGAUAGAAAUAUAAAUCAAUUUCUAUCGUAGAUAUAAUUUAAAAUUUUGUUAUAAUUUACAAAUAUUUUAAUUUCUUUUACUACUUUUAAAUAUAUUUGAAUAAUUAUUAUUUUGGUCCUUUAUUUAAUUUUAUUUGUUUUAGUGAGUGUUAACUUUGAAGGAAUGUUAUUGGAAUUGGAUAAUCCCCUAUAUUUUUUGUUUUUAAUUUUUUAGAAACGUUUUGAAAAUUUGAGAUUGAUUAUAGAAGAAACUAUUCUUUAGUGGCUUUGCUUUGUUUCUAUUUAUAUUCAUAUGUUUGUUUGAAAAAAUAAAUCAAAUUUGUUUUCUUUUAUUGUUUGUGAUUGGGUACUUAGAUUUGAGUUAUAUUUGAGCGUUCGGAGUUGAUUUUCUAAUCAAACUAAUGUCAAAUUGUGUAUGAUUAAUUUAGUAAAUAUUUAAAUUAUCACAAUUAAAUAAGUGCAAAUGAUCGGAGAUCGGUUUGACCUUUUGAAGAUUUUAAAAAAUGGAUUUUUCUAAACUAACGUCGUCCUAAUUAACCUCUCCUUACGUUCGACAUACCACUUUCAAUUCGGCCGUUUUGGUCAAUCUACUUGAGUUUUUUGAUAUAUUAUGCUCAUUUAAAAAAAAAAUUAUAAAUUUUGAAAACAUAUUUUCAUAUUUAGUAACAAGUUGCAUGUUUAUUUACAAAAGUAGGUCUUAAAACUUUCAAUUUCGUGUCCAUUGAAUCAAUGAGAUUUAGAUUUUUCAUGACAUAGGUGCUCGACCUAUUUGAUAUAUAAAAAAUAAUAAUAAACCAUUUAGACACAAAAUUGAAAUUAAUUUCAUUAUAUAAGCAAAGAACUGAAGGUAAGUUUAGCAACAAUUAACAUGGUCCUAGAGAUUUGAUCCAUCAUCUUCACAAUUAUUAUAUCCAUACAAAAAUCAUUACUAUAUAUAAUUUUCAAAUUCAUGUAUAUCAUAUACCCAUAAACCAAAUAAUUAAAAGUUGAAUCACUUAUUAGAGACCAUAGUAAAAAAAUUUAGUGUCAAGAUAUAAUCAUUACAAACAACAAAAUUAACUGCAAUAUUUUUUUCUCCAUAAUUACGAUAUGCUAUUUUUUUAUCAAUACAUUAUUGAUAUAUAUAUAUAUAUAUAUAUAUAUAUAUAUAUAUAUAUAUAUAUAUAUCAAGUACAUACAUAUGUAUAGGUUAUUAUUCUUUGUAAAAUGUUAUAUCUCAUGUGACACAUUUAUACUUUGAUUUAAACCAUAUAAACUAUUAUUCCAAAAGCCCCUAAAGUUUAAGCCUUGAAGGAAAUAGUGAGUGUAGUAUCAAUGAGGAUAUGAGGGGUAAAAUUGUAAUUUUGGAUCCACUUUAAAUCUUAAUUAAUAUUCUUAAUAACUAUACAUAUUGAAGCUGUAUCCUUUGUUGCCUUGUGGUUUGCAUUGGACCACAUAUAUUGAUGUCAUUAAUUGGUCCCUUUUUCUUUCUUUUUUCUUUCUUUCUUUUCAAAAGAUAAGUUCAUGCAAAAUAGUCUUCACUUUUUUAAACUUCAUAUAAACUAUUAUUUCAAAAGAUAAAGAAUAAUACAAUUAGAUCUGUUAAAAUAUUGAAAAUUAUAUUAGAUGAUAAAAAAUUUAGAAAAAACAGCUCAUAACACAUCUUUUUUGCAUAUUACAUAUUUGACAAAUAGGACAGUAAUCAAACGAUAAUAUAUCUACUUUUAAACUUGUUGUUUUUUGUAAUUUUGAAAAUGUAAAUGACACGUGCUCUAUUUUUGCAAACUCUCCUUAAAAUAUUAUAGACUCGAAAAAAAAUAGAACAUUUUAAAAUAACAUGGCAAAAUAAACCAAAAUAUUCAUAAAAACUAACAAACUUCCAUAUCUAUUAAUGAUUGGUACUAAUAAUAGUUAGAAUUUGAAAUUUUGUUAUAUUUUGUAAAUAUUUCAAGUUGUUUUAUAAUUAUAAUAAUUAUCUAAAAAGGUUGAAAAAUUAUACAUUCUACUAUUUCGUUAUCACUUGUUUAUAAUAGUAAUGGCGUAUUACUUAAGAAAUUAAAAGAUAUAUUUAUAUAUAUAUAUAAAAAAAAAAAAUGGUCCCUUUACUUUCUACGCAACUUUUUGUCAUGUCUAACCUUUUGUUUAUUUAUUUUUUCAAAAGAAAGGUUAGAAAAGUUAAUUCUUCUAUAGGUAAAAAGGAAUAACUUUCUACAUUGCACGAAUUUUAAUUAUGGUUUCAAAAAGGAUAAUGUAAACACAUAAAAUAUAUACAUAUAUAUAUAUAUAUAUUUGCAUGUGAGCUAACAAUAAGCUUUACUUGCUAAGUUCAAGAUCGAAGAAAUUUGAACUUUGACAUUUUUUGUUCGAAUGCUUUUCAUUUAGUUUCGUUAUAUUUAAGUUAACUUUUUUAAUCGCCUUAAAUAUAUGAUUAGCUAAUAACAAAUAUUUGUGAGUGUUAACUUAGAAAGACAAAUCAACAAAUAAAAAGUUUAGACUAUUUACCCAAUAAAGAUUGAAUUCUCUGCUCUCAAAUUUUAAACCUUUUUUAAUAAAACAAAUGAGUUUUUGAAAUAUUACGAAUACAAAUUGUGGUUGGUAGUCUUCAUAUAUUCUGUAUGUAUAUGUAAUUUCAUUAGAUAUUCAACUAAAGUACGAUAUGAUAGGAUUGAAUCAUCAACCACUAAAAUCAUAGGUUAGUAUAUUAUUUAGUAACGUAUAUGUUUAAUUUGCAGCAUAUAUUAUAUACUUUCUUAAUUUAACUUCAGUUAUAUCAUAUGGUAACAAAAGAAAAAAUUAGUAUAAUGUUAUAUAAAUUCUAACAUUUUAAAGAUAUGUUAAUAUCCUACGUUUGAAAGGUAUAAUUUCAGGAUAUUUGAAUUUUACCAAACAAUUCAACUUGUAAUUAAAAGUUGAUUAAUUCAAAUUAAGAAAACAUAAUUAAAUUAAUCACGUGAGUAUAAGGUAAUUAAUAAUGUGUUUAGUAAAUAAUAAAUAAACUUAAUUAAAUUUUGGUAAUGUGACAGAUAUGAUUCUUUUUCCACAAGACUGUUUCCUCUUAAUUACACAAAAUAGUCUUAAAGAAGAAGGGGUGAAUUUAAUUACUUAAGAAACUUUAAUAAUGUCAAAUUGAAAUAAUGCUUUUUCAUACUAUAUAAGUAUAAAUGUUUUCUAAUUAUUUUAUGUGUUCAAGCAUAUCUUAAAACUUUAUGAUAAGUUUUUUUUUUGUUAUUCUAAAAAGAAAAAUAAUAAUCGUUUCGUCUAAUAGUAACACGUUCGGGGACAAAGACAAGAAAUGUAAAGUUACUUUAGGAGGUGUGUAUAUAUUAUAAUUCAAAAUUCGUAACAUUGAUGCUAAUCUUAACCGAGAGGUUAAAAUGUUUGCAACGUCUUUACUUCUUUUAAAAGAUGGAAUAUAUUAAAACGAUCUUACAAGAUUUUCUUGACGACUAAAGUAUAGUUUGAUAACGAUUUGAUUCUUAGUUUUCCGUUUAUUCAAUAAAAUUAUGCUCGAGUCCAGUUGUCGUCGAGGUCCCUAUAUUUUUUAAUUUUUCUUUAUAUAUAUAUAUAUAUAUAUAUUAUUUAAUUUUUAUUCCCUUUCCCAAGUUUUGGAAAAAGUUUACAUGUGUAUUUGGGAGAAGAGAGUGAUAGAAUUUUGGAUUAAGGGAUUUUAAUAUAUAUGUUGUUGAUUGUACUUUUUUAAACAAAGAUUUUCUUUAUACAAAAUCAAAAGGGUUAGGUUAAACAAAAGAGUGUUUGUUAUAUGCAAUUCUUUAAAUUAAAAAGGUAUAUUUGUUAUUUUAAAUUUUAAUUAAACUCACAACUAUACAAAUAUAUAUAUAUAUAUAUAUAUAUAUUUGUUUUUUGAAGAUGUCAAGUAAUGACCGUUUUAAAGAAAAAGUGUCAAAUAUUUGGUUAAAAAAAUAGAAAUUUUACGACAUCUUUUAACUAGUUUAUGUUAGUUAUUACUUGGCGUUACAUGCAAAGGUAGUUUAACAUUUAUUUGACGCAAAAAGAAAUUUUGAGAAAAAUGUAUUUUUUUUUAUUGGAGAGUUUGCAAAAAUAGCAAAGAGGUUUAUGAUAAUAGAGUUAAUGUCACUUGCAUUUUCAAAAUUGUAAAACAACAAAUUUAAAAGUAGAUUACUGUCAGAUUAACAUCUGAUUACCGUCAUAUUUGUCAAAUUUGCAAUAUACAGAAAAUAGGUGUUAUAAGCUGUUUUUUUUCUUUUUUUUUUCUCUAAUACAAUUUUCCUUUUUAUUUGUUAAGAAUAUAAACUAAAAUAUAUUUUUUUUUUCGGCCCUAAUAUUAUUAACACGCAAAACGGAAAAAAAAAACGCAAAUAUCAAUUAACAUGAUUUAAGAUUUGUUUAUGCUAGGAGAAGAAACUAAAUAUCUUAACCAGUUGAAUUUUGCUUGAAUUGAUUUGUAUGUGAUUGACAAUUGAAAUUAAAAACCUAACUAUGUCAAUAUAAUAUUAUCUCAUUUUCACUGUAUUUUAGAGUCUAUAUACCAAAAUAACAUUGAUUCUUAUGUGUAUCUUGACUAAUCUCACAAGAUAAUCCAUCUGAUCUUACAAUAUUUUGAUGUAAAGAAAUGAAUUCGUACGAUAUAUGACUAUCAUGAAUUGAACUCACGGAUCUCUUAGUUAGUUAUUAAGAUUAUGUUUUCUUUUUUACUAUUAAGUAGGUAAAAAAAAUUGAAUUCUUGAAAAUUAAUUUAAAUCUAAAUUUAACUUGAAGCUUUAAUUAAUUCUAAAAAUAUUUUCAUAAGCAAUAAAAUAGAUAACUACACUCGUGAAAGUAAUGUGUUUGUAAAACUUCAGUUUUCAAAAGUUAAAAAACAACAAAAAACAAGAUGAUUAUUAAACGGAGUGCAAAUGUUGAGAGAUUCGAUGAUUGUCCUGUAAGAUUGAUCAAAAGUAUGAAAGCGAAUUUGUCGAUUUAGCCUUUUUCAUUUGCUAAUCAAUUGGUUAAAGUCAGUAUUCUCAACCAGAAAGUUAGAUGUUCAAAUCUUUAUUUUUGCAUAUUGUCACUCCAAAAGAAAAAAACACCAACUAUGAAUAUUAAAAAAAAAAAUUGAUUUUGACAUAGUUAAUCAACGGUAAUUAACAUGCAAAUCUAAGAUCAAACGUUUAAUCUCUCAUCCCUAAAAUUUUUUAUGAAAAUAAAUAAAAUUUUCUCAAAUAAAUUUAGGGUCAGUUACAAAUACAUUUUCUAUAACUAUUUCAUAUAGUUUCAUAAAAUUCUCGUAAAUCGUAUACAAUUAGAACAAUGUAUUCUUAUCAAACUAUAACAACGAAUGAAUUCAAAUUUAUGUAAAUUAACCAUAAAUCUUUUCGGUUUGAAAGAAAGGGUUGGAAUUUGGAAAUAACUUUUUUUUUUUUGGAGCAAAAUUUGGAAUUGGGAAAUAAAAUUCAAAUUUUCUUGAGGAGUUGGAGUUUAUAUAUACUUUAUUAUUUAUACAAAAUUAAUUUAUGCAUUCUAUUUAUAUAUAUAUAUAUAUAUUUAGUCAAACUUAGUAAGAAUGACGAUUUGAUAUUUAGUUCAUAUUCUUUUCGAUUCUAUCUUAUCGCUUUUGUUUUUUCAUUUCUUACAUUUUUAUUUUUCUUCUGAAUUAGAAUCAUAUGCUAUUGCUUUUCUCUUUUCUUUUCUUCAAAAACAAUUUGUAUUUACAUAUUAAAUAAUAAAACCUGGAUUUGAUAUUUAAUUCAUCUUUUUUUUUUCUUUUUGUUUGAUUCAAUACUUAAAUAUACACUUUAAAUAAAUAUUUUCUUAUUUAGAAAAUUGUGAUUGCAUAUAUUCUAAAUUCUAAUACUUUUGAAUUUAGUUUUAGACAACUGUGAUAAAUUCAGUUCUCCAUCUGCUUUUUCUCUUUUCUUUCUUUUCUUUUUCUUUUCUUCUUUUUCCUUUUAAUAUCUAAUCAGUUAUAUAUAAUAUUAAAUUUAUCCACACCUUUAUCAACAAAUUCAAGUUUUUUUGUUUGAUCGAUCGAUGAUUUAGAAUAGUAUCAAAGUAGGUUAUUCAUAGUCGUUCACGAAGGUCGAUCUUGUGUUUAAGUCCUGACACUCGUCUCUAAUUAAAAUUAAUUUCAACUUGUUAACUCUUUUUCUUUAUUUUUUUAAAGUGAACCCAUAGCGAUGAGUUAUAUUAACACAAAAUUGCAAUUAUCGUUGUAUCAUUUAAAUAAUAUGAUUUGGUUAAGUAAUUUGGUGAUCCAUGGGCAUUUUAUUUAAUGAAUUAAUUUCAUUUAAUAAGAAUAAAGAAAGAAAACUAGAUUUUAAAAUUAAAUUGGUUUGAUUAACUCCUCAUGAAAAUUGAAAUUUUAAAUUAGAUCUAAAUCAAACAUGGAUCGAGAAUUCUUCGGAGUCGAUAACACAUAUAUUUUAUGUGAAUUGUGUUCGUAUAGUUGUAAACUUGUAAAAAAUGUAUUUUAAAAUUUAAAAAGGAAGAUAUUGUUUUCUUAGAGAAUAAUGUUUACAUAUAUUCUAAACUCUCAAGUACUUCGGAAUGUUUUUCCCCUUUAUAGUUUAGAAAACAGUGACAAAAUUCAGUUCUCUAGAUCUACUUUUUUUUCAAAAGCUUGGCUUUGGGGCCAUCCAUGCCAUUUCAUUUUUGUUUAUUUCUUCGUAAAUAAAUAUAAUAACAAAGAGAGCUUAAGUCAACAAUAAUUGAUACUUCUUACGAGAGAUUGAAUAUAUGGCAUCUAUUCUAUUCUCGUAGUUGUAAAAAAAACAUAAGAAAAUUACCGAGCUCAAUUUGAUGCUGUGAAAAUUGCAAUUGCAAUUUAAGUAGAGGAAUUCAAGUGGAAAUUCACCACAUAGAUCACUUUUUCUUUUUUCAAAAUCCUUUAUAUAGUUAACAUGUUUUUAUCAAAAUAAAUAUAGAUAUAUGUGUAUAUAUUCACUCAUGCUAUCACGUCCUCAAUUUAAUCGGAAAAUUGCAUAUAACACCUAAUUUUUGCAUUUUGCAAAUAUAGUAAAAUUAAUGAUAUCAUACGGUAAUUAUAGAGUUAUCGACUUUUAAAUUUGUUGCUUUUGUAAUUUAGAAAAUAUAUUAACACAAAUUCUAUCCGUUUAAUAUUUACGUCUAGUAAUGUUUUCUUCCUAUGCUAAAAUUUAUCGUAACAAAAGUAUAUAUUGAUGUGGUGCAAUAAUUAUUAAAAUAAGGUUACUUAUUUUCUGCGUUAGAGGAGAGAAAAAAUUAUUGCUUUCGUAAACUUUAUUAAAUUUAUAUAUUUAAUUUUAAAACUAUUUAUCAAAUUAUAUGUUUGAACCUUUAAGUGAUUCUAAAUUAUCAUUUUUAAAAAUAACUCUUAAAUAUUUAUAUAUUUGAAAACAAACUUCACGAUAUAAAAAAUAGAUUUAAAAUGGAAAAUUAGAUAUUAAAUUGAUUUUGAUUUAGGUGUGUUUUAGAGUACUUUUAAAAAUAUGAUAAAAUCACUUUCUACCAAAUACUAAUGAUGUAAUUAAGACCAAUGAUAAAUUUACCUAAUAUUCAAAUUCAACAUUUCCCUAUCCGUUAUUCCAAGUUCCAAAUUUUCAAAUAUUUAAAUUUUUUAAAACUUUAAUUCGUUUUUUUUCAAAUUAUUAAAAUGACUUUUGUUAUUUUUAAAAUUACUCUAAAUAUAAAUAUUUUUAAUCAUUUAUCGUAUCAAAAUUGUAUUCAAAAGUAUAAAUAAUUAAAUUUUACGUGAAUAUGACGUAGAAAAAAAUGUAUAAUUAAAAUUUCAUAUGAUAUAAAAGAAUUGUAUUUAAUUAAUUUGUGAACUUUUAUACUAUAUCAAAAUUAAGUGACAAGUUUAUAACAUAUUGGUUAGCAGAAACACGAGAAACUCUAUUACAAGGAUUACGUUAAAAUUUUGUAUUCAAUUAUUUUUUUCAACAGCUUCAAUUAGAUUUAAUUGAACUUUUUAAUUAGUUAGAUUUUGGAACUUUCAAUUUUGUAUAAUAGAGCUAAAGCAUAUUUUUAAAUAAGUGUUAAAAAUUACUAUUCAAUACCUAACAUUUAUGUUUUGUACUUAAUUGAGCUUUUAAUUAUUUUUUUAUUUUUUAAAUAUGUUGAUGUUAAGUUUCAAACAAAAAAAACGGUAAAUUUGAUACUCACAUCUUAGGUUUGAUAAUAGUGGUAAAUUUGUAACCCAAAGAAGAGAAUGUGACAGACAAUGGAAAAAUAAUUUGUAUAUGGGUAUGAUACUUACCUCAUAGACCUUAUUACUUGGGUUAAAAAAUUUAUGUGUAUAACAAAUAGAGAGUUUGUAGCAUGUCGAGAUCAGUUCCUACAGGUUGCAAUGUUGAUUGAUAAAAUUGGUCUCUACCAAGGCUACUAUGGAAGAUAUUUUCUUUUGUUUCGUUUUGGGUCUAAGACAAUCCUUUAGGCAUGGGUAUGUCUCAUCGAAAUUUUGUUUUAGUUGACCUUAGUCCAUUAUCUAGGCUCGUUUUGGUCAUCGGUGUCGCUUUUGGUCCAAAUUUUGUUGCUUUUAUAGUAUGUGAUAUGCUCUUUGAUCCAAAGUCAUCAUGAAAAUACAUAAUUUGUUCAAAUAAAAGUGACAAAUAGGUUGAGCUGUUACUAUACAUGAAAGGAGAUAUAUAAAUAAGUUUGCAUUUUGGUUUAUCUUUUUAAGGCUGCUCUCCAUUUCAAACCUAGUUUUGGGCUGCUAAGCCUGAUAGUGAAAAUGGGUCGUCUCAAUUUGGGCCGACAAGGAAAUCCAAGUUACACAUUUCAAAAUUUCUUUUAUUUUAUUAAAAUUUAAAAGUGACGUAGUUGUAAAUUUAGCAAUUAAAUUCAAAUUAAUUAACUAUAUAGCAUAAUUUUAAAAAAUCUGUAAAUAUAGUAACAUUUGUUAAAUUCUAUCAAUGAUAUAAGUCUAUCACCAAUAGACUAUGUUGCAAAUAUUGGUCUAUCAUUGAUAUAUCAUAUGAAAUCUAUCAGCGAUACAAGUUUAUUAGUGAUCGUUUUGCUAUAUUUGCAACUUUUUUAAAAUGUUAUUAUAUCUUUAAUUAUUAUUGCUAAAAUAGUCAUCUAUUGCAAUUUUCUUUUAAAAUUUGUUUCUCGUAUAUUUUGAUUAUUUUUUAUCAUGUAUGAACAAAAUUGUCAUAUAUUUUGAUUGAAUUAUAAAUGAUUCAUUAAGUGCAUACUAGUUUCAUUACUGUUAUGGAUCUCUCCAUAUUAUAAUUGAUUUAUUACAUAUUACAUAUACAUAUUUACAGCAACACGUAAGUUGUGACACAUAUAGUUCUAUUAUUUUUUUUUAGGUGAAAACAUGCUUUUUGCAAUACUGUUAUUUACUGCUUACUAUUUUAAAUAUGUUAUGUAAUGUUUACCAAUAUAUACACCUGCAUAUUUAUAAUACUAUGUAUAGUGACACAUAUAGUUAUGUAAUAUUACCAAUAUACACCAGCAUAUUUUACUCGUCCGUUUCGUAAUAAACCAUAAUUUAUUCGCAUGAAAACUCUAGAUACUGAUUUUGUUCGGUUUUUUACUCACAACAAUAUAAUCGGCUCAAUCUACUGAAUAUACCUAUUGUAUUUCAUAUACGAAUAGGAACAUAAACUUUUACUUACCGAAAAUAUUCAUAAAACAUAAUCUAAAUCUUUUUUUUUUUUUUUGUCUAUAAAAAUAUAUCAAAUUCAAAUACUGGUAUUGAUUAUUGAAUCCAGCCUAGCUAUCUUAGUUUUGUAAAUUACAAAGUGAUUAUUUUCCUUUUUCUGUUGCACUAAAUUACAAAGUGCUAAUAAUUAUAUAGAAAUAUAUAUAUUUGUAUAAUUGGGAUUGUUUAAUACUUAUUGGUAAAAAUAAAACUGUUUCUUAUUAUUUACAAAUAAAAAAUAAAAAACAAAAAUAAAAGCUCGCACCAAAAAUGCAAUUUUCCCUCCGAAAGGCAAUUUAUGUUUUAAAACAAAAGGCAGUUAAAUUAAAACUUAAAACACAAAGCCAAUUUUCACCGGCUAUCGUCACCGUUUAAUCACAAAAAUUCAUCGCCGUUAAAUUGGCUGUGACGUCCGUCGGUGUUAGGGACACAAUCACCUUGCCACGUCCAAACGAUGUCCUUCAGAGCCGGCCGAACGUCUUCCUCACAAAACUUCGAAUAUUCCAGAGUAUCACCGGACGACUUUGAGAAUUCUACUAUGGCGACUUCCGGUGCUAUUUCGAACACCUCCGCCGUCACAGACAGCUUUCCUUUUCUUCCUUCCGAUGGACCCUGUAGUCGGAGCUUGAAAUCUUUCGCUUCCGAUACCUUGAAGCUUAGUUUCUUCGCCACCGUCUCGAUCUUUUCCAUGAUUGUUGAUACCGAGCAUCUCGAUGUGAACAUGGAUCCUGUCUUCCUUUUGUUCUCGAAUAAACUCGAUAGAUCGAAUCCGGACGACAUCGACGAUAUUAAUUCGAACGCAUUGAAGAAUUUUGGCGUCGAUAGUUUUGGACUUUCGAAAUCGGAAUCCUCUGUUUUCGCUGCGAUUGUUUCUUUCAUCGUGAACGAGAGGGAUCUUGAGAAAUCUCUUCGGAACCAAGGAACUCGCGUGAUUGCUCCGAUUGUGAUUCGUCUACCUGGAUCUACGACGAGGAUUUUUGAAAUCAAACGCUUCGAUUCAGCCGAGAACCACGGCGGACAUUCGAAUUCGGCUUUGAAAACCUUCUUAUACAUAGUCAUGAUGUUCUCAUCCUGAAAUGGAAGGAAUCCUGCUAACAAAACAUACAAAAUCACACCACAAGACCAGAUAUCGGCUUUUGCUCCAUCGUAUCCCUUUCUUCGUAGUACUUCCGGUGCGACGUAGGCCGGAGUACCGCACUGCGUGUGGAGAAGACCGUCGUUACGAAGCUGUUCCGGUAAAGCGGAGAGUCCAAAGUCGGAAAUCUUGAGAUCUUCGUUCUCAUCCAGCAAAAGAUUCUCCGGCUUCAAAUCGCGGUGAGAGACUCCACGACUAUGACAGUAAUCGACUGCGCUGAUUAACUGCUGGAAAUACUUCCGAGCCACGUCUUCUUUGAGUUUUCCUCUAGCGACUUUAGCAAAAAGCUCACCACCACGAACAUAAUCCAUAACGAAGAAGAUCUUCGUCUUCGUCGCCAUUACUUCCUUCAACUCAACGAUGUUCGGAUGACGAACAAGACGCAUAACGGAGAUCUCACGCUUGAUCUGCUCCAUCAUCCCUUCCUUCUUAACCUGAUCCUUAUUCAAAACCUUGAUCGCAACGCUUUCACCAGACUCCAAUUCUUUUCCAUAAUAAACCUUAGCAAAAGUCCCCUUCCCAAGCAACCUCCCAAUCUCAUAUUUACCAAACAGAACAUUCCUCUCCUCCAUUAAAGCAGAGAAUCCACAAACACACACACACACACACACACAAUUUUAGAAGCAGCGAGACCAAUUCAGAAGUUGGCUAAGAAAUUCACUUACAUUCGCGACGGAAUCCAUGAAAGCACGGCGUAGAUAGUGAUUCCAACGGAUUCCAUCCGCGAGAAUCAGAGAUAGUGAGUGAAAUUAUAAGAAUGAAAGCUGGAGAAUGGGAAAGAUAGUUGACUGAAAGAAAAGAAAAAAGAGAAGAAAGAAAAAGUUGAAAACUAGGAGCGGCCGCGAUUUCUGGCGCUUUUCAGGAGCACACGGAAAAGAUCCGUUACAAUGGGUUUUAUAUGUGGAGGUGAAGAGAAGACCCACUCAUAAACUGCUAUUCCCUUCCCACCCCCAAAUUUCUCAUUGUCCCCACACUUCCCUUUUACUCUUCUGUCUUAUUAGCUUAGGGCUAAUACGUCGUUUCCCUUUAAAAUUCACAAUCUACCAUUGGUGUCAAAAGAAAAUUUGGACAUGUUGAAAUUGAUGCACUAAAAAUCAACCUUGGUAAAUUGAGAUUUUACAGGAGAAUGUAAAUUUUUAAGUCAUGUAAUUAUUAGUUUGAGAUUUUAAUUGAUAUAAUUAUAGAUCUAAAUUAUUAUUUUUCCUACUUUAUUUUCUAUAUAUAUAGAUUUUAAUAAUGUGUGUAAAUACAAAUUAUGUUAUAACAAUAAUAAUGACCAAUAUCAUUAUUCUACGUAUGAAGAAGAAAAUUAGGCAUUUAAAAAAUAGGAAGCAUAAAAUGGAGCGGAAUUAAAGAUGGACCAAAUUGGUAGUUGAACUAAAAAUUUGAAAGGGAUUUAGUUUUUGUGUAGAUUAGUUUGAAAGAUCUGAUUUGUAGACACCUUCAAUAGUAACUUCAUUUAUCAUCUUCUUAAAAAAGGUAUGUUCAUUUAUUCUUUUUAUUAAAAGGAAAUUCCCAUUAAUAUUUUCCUUUAUUUUUCAUGUUCAAAAUUUCAAUUACGUUUUAAUUUUUUUUUUUAAAUAAUCAAUUCUCUUUUAUCUCAAAGCAUGUAUAUAACUAAAAAUGUAAUAGUUACUAAAUGGAGUGUAAUUAAAUAUUUACAUUUUAUUAAAACUAUUUACAAAAUAAGCCAAAUUAAUCUAUUUCUCUCCCGUGAAUUUAAAAAACUUAUUAUAUUUUGCAUAACAAUUUUUUUUGUUUUCUUAACGACUAAAAACACUGUUUAAAUGAAAAAGUGUCUUUGCGAAAACCGAAUCAUUUGCUGAGAUAAAUACAAACAAAACGUAGAAAAUUGAAGUAAGUGCUGGAAAAUAAAUACGUAGACAAUUAAGUUGAGUUAGAUAUCUCGCUCCUUUUAAGGAUAUUUAAGCCCAACAUAUAUUCCUACUCAAAUUAAAUUCAUAUAAAUUUAUAUUAAUAAUAUAUUGAUGUAGAAAGCUUCGUUUAAAAUUAAAACUCCGAAUUCGUAAAAGUAAAAAAAAUGUAAUAACAUUUCCAAAUAUAUAUAAUUAUACCUCCAAACUUGAAAAACCUGUCUUUAUAGAUGCAUGGUUUUUUUAACGCUCUAGGUCCAAGUCCAGGUCUAGGAUUCGAAAUUCGGUUUCUCAAUAUUCUUAUGCGAUUUAGCAACAUCAUCUUUACUUAUUAGAGUAAAAUGCAAAAGUUGAUUUUACAAACCAACACACAAAAGCCAAAUGUAUGAGGAAGUCCAAUUCAUUUUUUUAUUUAACUUAAGAAAAAAGACUAUUGUUUCAACAUGCUACGUUUCAAACUAAGCACACAUAAUUUAUGAGUUCUUACGAUCGUAUCACUGAAAAGAAAAAUGGGUCUUGUUGGUAUAGAAAUUAUCUCUUAAUUCUUUUAAGCAUUUUUUAGUCCUAUUUUUAUGUAUUUAGGAUCAUUCUCAUUCAGAUGUGAUAUCGAAACAUUCAUGUCUACCUCUUAAACUCAGAGUGUUAUAAUUUUAUCUUGGAUCUUACUAAAUCGUUAAACUUUAAAGAGUACUUCGUAUGAUUGCCAACUUGAUUUUGUGUUAAACAAAAUUUUCAACUUUUAAUUUGUUAAAUUGAAAAAUAUUUUACAAGCUUAUUCACAACCUCGAUCUUUAAAAAAUCUAUCAACUUGGGUGAGCACAAAAUUUAAUUUAUAUCUAAUAAAUAAUUUUACCAAUUUUAAAAUAUAUUGAAUAUGCCAAGAAUCUUAAAUAAAAAAUGUAUUUGAGAACGUGAUUAAAAAAAACGAACAUACCAAAAUUUUAUAUCUAUCGAUCCAAUUAUAUUAUUAAUAGACAUUAAUAAAAAUCGAUACAAACAGAUGUUUUUGAACAGUGGUGUUGUUUAAAAAACAAAGAAUGAAAAAUUAAGAAGAAAUUCAAUCAAUUUCACAAAUAGUUUAUAAAAUAAAUACAACCCAUCAAAUAUCUUAACCCACUUUGUAUUUUUUUCCAACUAAAACUUUUUUUAAUUCAUCAAUCCUCUAAGAUAUAAACUUUUUUUAAAAUUCAUUUUCUUUAGUGGGAGAGUUUGGUUUUGCUCAACCCAUGUAAUUUGGCUUCUAGCAAUGGUGUCCAACAACCAUACAUGAACCAACAUAUUUUUAUAUUACUUGACUAUGUCAAUUUAUUUGUUUUAUUUCAUCUAUUAAUUUAAUUUAAAAAAAAAAAGUGAUUGAUGGUACUUAUAGAAUUUUCAAUCAAACCAAAUCUAAAAAAAAACGUAGAAGUUAUCUGAAAUCUUUGAGAAUUCAUUCGUUGCCACAAUAGAGAUGCUAAUGAUGAUUUUUAAUUUUUUUUUAUACUAUAUAUCGGAUUUAUAAAUAACUUUAUAUUUUACUUUUAUUUCAUUAGUUUAUUUGGUUCGAGAUUAAAAGGAAAACUAGAAGACAAGUUUAUUGAUGUAUUUUUAUUGUUAUUGUUUUACGAUAAGAUUUUGAAAUUAUAUUUUAAAAAGUGAAAAAAAAAAAAAAAAACUAUGAAUGAACAACUUUAUAUUUAAAAAUUGAAAAUUGUAUAAUUGAAUGUUUGUUAAUGGACUUUCUUUUAUUUUCUAUAUUUAAUAUUGAGAUGUUCCCUAGCUGCCAUUUAUUUUUCGGAAGUAUAUUAUUAAUCAAUAAUAAAUAGGAUAAUUUUAAAAAUUGAUAAAUAAUAAAUUAUUAAACAAGUAAUUAUCAAGAUUUCUUCAUUUGAUUUACAAAAAUAUUAAAACUAAAGUUUUGCUUAAUUUGUUACAAAAAUAUAUUUGUAUGUUGCAAGUUGUCAAUUUGUAUGCAAUUAACUACUAAUCAACACAUCUUACUUUCAAUUAAGAAAAAUUGUAUCUUUACCUAUAAAAAAAAGCAUAAUUUGAAAUUAUUUAUUAUAUUAAUUUAAUUUUUUCGUAAAACAAAAUAUUUGAAUAUAUAAAAUAAAAUGAAAAUACCUAUUAAAUGUAAAUAUAAAAACAGAAAACGUGAAACGAAAACAUUAUUAAUUUAAAAUAUAAAGUUGAAAUUGAAAACAUUAUUAAUUUAAAAUAUAAAAUCGAAAUUAAAAUCAAUUAUAGAAAAAUAAUAGGAAACAUUUUUAAAAAUAGAAAAAUAACUUAAAACAUUUUCAAGCCAAAAUUAUAGAUUACUUUAAUUAUUGUCAUAUCAGUGACUAUUAAUGUAUAUUAUUGAUAUAAUUUGUAAAUUUUGUUGUAUGUGAUAAAUAUUUGGUCAGAUUUACUAUUUUUUACAAUUUUUCGAAUAAAAAUAUAUACAUUUAAAUUAGGAUUGAAAAUAGAUUGAAUUGGAUUGACUUGACACAGAUUUUGGACAAACCUAAAUUUUUGAGUUAGUUUGGAUUGACAACAUGAAUUAUUUCGAGAAGCAUUUCCAACCCAACUCUCAUAUUUUCACGGCUGAACUGAAUUGAGUUAGAUUUAAUUGUAUAUAUUUAUUUUUUUCAUUCAUAAUAUUUGUUAGAUUUCAAAAACAUUACAGCAUCAUAUUCAUAGAUGUGCACAUGAAGUUUAAAACAUCACUAAAUCAAACUUUUAAAAAAUAAAAAAAUAUUCUAAAUUGUAUAUAAUAUAAUUAUUUUGGGAUGGGUUUGAUUAAAUGAAAAUUUUCAAACCCCAAUUCGAGACGAAGUUAAAAAAUAUAAAGAAAAAAAAGCCAAUCCAAUACAAAUUUGAAAGUAAAAAAUUCCAAUUUAUUUAAACUUAUUAAGAGAGGAAUAAAUGCUUUAAAGUUUUGUUUGUUAGUUUUAUUUAUUUAUUCCUUUCCUUUCACUUAACCUAAUAUAGUGGAUGUGGAGCCCACUCGUUGAAGAAUAUUAUUGCGUGGAAGUCAAUCAUUGGCUAUAAAACAAACGGCGGUGAUGGCGAUCGGAGCCGGGGGAUUUCACGACGGUGAUUACUUACAAUUGAUUAAUUAUUAUAUAUAACUAAACGCGUUUUUUCUUUCCCAAAUAUCAUUAAGCAUUUUGAUUUUGACUCUUUUCUUCCAAAAUUUUAUUAUUAAUUUGAAGAAAUAUAUAAAUUGAUACCUUUUGGUAAUUCACAAUUUAACAAAACUUAGGUUUUGUAUAAUAAAUUGUUGCAAAAAAUAGUGUAUAUUAUAUAUUGUGGAGUUAAGUUUAAUAACCUCUUUUCGUUUUUAAAAAUUUUGAUUUUUCUUUCCAUGUACAUGUAUGCAUGAAUUAGGAGGGUUCAAAAUGAAGUUGAAAACCAAACCGAAACUGAAUGCAUACUGUUCGGUUCGGUUUCUAUUUAAAAAAAACCGCAAAAAAUUCGAUUCAAUUCGGUUUAAGACGUUAAGAACCGAUUCUCAAACCGAACCGAAUUGCUUUAUUUAAAUAUUUAUAUAUAGAUAUAUAAAUAAUAUGUUAAUAAUAAUUUUUUUUUUAGACUUCAAAGCGGAUAUAGAGGCAAAAAUCAAUGAGAGGAACAAGAAGGAGAAAAAUAACAUAAUCAAAAUGUAAAUGACAAAUUGUCUUAACGAAGUUUGUAUGACUGUAGAAUUUUUAUUCAUCUAAGGUGGAUUUUGAAACUUCUAUGUUUUGAUGGACUUUUAAAUUUCAAUGUUUAAAACAUUUAUUUAUGUCUGUAAUUUUGAAAUAUAUAUAUUUGUAACUUUGUAUAAGUGGUUCGAUUUUGAUUCGAUUUUAUUUAUGCAUAUAUGAUUCAGUUUUCAUUUUGUUUGACACAGAUGAACGGUUCGGUUCGAUUUCAAAUAAGAUUUUUUUUUCAUUUUGUAGUUCGGUGCGAUUUUAACUUCAAACCGAACUGCAAACACCCCUAGUAUGAAUGCAUAGACUUCUAAACUUGACAUUUUACAUUUAAUAGAACCCUAAUGUAGCUGAAAACGAGAGAGAAGUAGGAAAAUCGUAUGUAUAUUACUCUUAUUAUAAUUGAGUAUACUUAGUAUUGAAUUUUAAAAUCUAGUUCAUUGCAUAAAAAAUGAGUGUUUAUUAUAUUAAUUUUAUGAUUUAGAUUUUAUUCGUUGAAUUAUGUUUGAAUUGACGACUACACUCACUACUAUAUAUAUAUAUCAAAAAUAACAAUCAAUUGAUUAGUUUCUUUAUGUAUUUUUUAUUAAGAAAAAAACGGUUUCAUUACAUUUCUAGUACUUCUCUUUUUGGUGUAUUUUCCUAUUUUAUCAAAGGAAGGAGCCUUGUAGUGUUGUGUAACGAGGCAUAUUUGGGAUAUGAUAUAAAUAAAUAAAUCGGAAUCCACAGGACCCGAUCACUUUUUUUAAAUUUCAAAUAUCAAAAUGAACUCAAAUGAAAUCACAAAGGUUGAAAUAAAUAUGAAAUAAAGGCUAAAAAGGGAUAAAUAAUAGAAUUAAUAUAUUGAAAAAAUAAAGGUGCCGUAGGAGUAUUUAAAUAAAAAUACAAAUAUAAUUGUUUUGUUUCAAUGAUAAGCCAUCAUGCCCAAUUUUGAUUUCGGUUUCCUUUAUGAAAAAAAGAUAAAAUUAAAAAUCUUAUCGUGAGGAAUCUCUGCCUCUUUAGUGGAAGACAGCUCCAACAAUUAUAUAAAUAUAUAGUUGCUUUUAAAUAUAAUUUUAAGGAAUUAAAAUUUUUACAAAAUAUCUAUUCAUCGUCGUAUUUGUUAUGAAAAAAAGUUUAUAUACGAUAGAUUUUGAAAUUUUGUUAUAUUUAUAAAUAUUUUUAUCUUGAUAUUUAAAGUUUAUGGUGUUAUAUUUACAAAUAUUUUAAUGUGUGCGAGUGUGUUUUUUUGUGUUUUGAACGUAUAUUACUUUAGUUUGAGUUAUAAUAGUAUAUGGUUGAUGUGUAGAUUAUUUUAUCUUGUAAAUGAUAAAAAAACAAUAGCAAAUUGAGAGUUUUGAAAUAGUGUUUACCGUAGUUAAUUGGUAAAUUUUAAAUAGUAUUUAACUGUAGCAAUAGGUGAUUAUUUUAGUACUAGAUAGUAUUUGACCCAAACGGUCUCUAGUAUUGCUAUGUCGAUGAAACUUUAAUUAAUUUAAAUAAAUUAUGAAUACAAACCUUUAGUUAAUUAUAAUAUUACAAGGUGAUAUGUUAGUCAAGCAAAAGUGAUAGAGGUGUCUUGAUUGAAAUGCAACGCUACGUAGAUAUAGUAAAAAAAUAUUAGAUGUCAAUUUUGAGCGUGAAGUAUCAUCAUAUAUUGAGUUAAAUUAUUGUUGUACCAUCAAUCGUUGAGAUGUUAAUUGGUACUUUUAUCCACCGAUAUCUUUGAACUGACCAAUCGAUCAAUUCAAAAAAAUUAAAAAUGAAGAUUAUGUAAGGUUUAAAAAAACGGACAUCACGUUGCAUGGAUUAAAACUAAAUACAUCAUAGCUAUGAUAUUGUGGAAUAUUAUAAGUUGACACAUAAUAUCGUUACUUUCAGUCUUUUAUUAUAAACAAAUUAUGAUUUCAAAUGGAAUAUUAGUUAAAAGUAAGGAAAAUUGAAUAUUAAAGUAAUGGAGGUGUGUAUUUAUUUUCUUAAAAUCAAAGGUUUAAAUGUUCAAAUUUCUACCAAUGAUUAUACUAAACAAUAAAAUAAAGUUAGUUGAGUCGGCCUACGACUAGUUAAAGCUAAGUUGUUUACCUAAUUGCAUUGAUCAUAUUUAUAAAUCCCAAAAACUUUUCUAUCAUCGCUUUGGGAGUUAGGUAGAUUCACCGUUUUGCACAUAUAUACAAAUUUCCCUAACACGUGUAAAAUAUUAAUUUGGACUCAUCAAACAUAUAUCAAUAAAAACUUUCCUAAAAUAUAGAAAUAUAUGAACAAUAAUAAUAGUAUGGUCAACAGUACAUUUUUAAUUUUAGUUUAUUUUGAUUUUGGUUUAUUUCACUUAUUAAAUCUACGGAAAUUAUAGAAUAACCUCAAACGUACACAUGACCAAAGUAGUAUUUAAACCUUAUUGUUAUUAUUAGGUUAAAAUACAAUUUUAGUCCCUAGACUUUGAAAUUUUAUUCAAUUUUGGUCUAUAUACUUUCAAUUGUCCAAUUUUAACCCGUGCUUUCAAUAGAUACUAAACUUAAGGUGUGUUUAAAAUACAUUAUCAAAUGUUUAAUUAAAAAAAAAAUAGAGUUUUUCACAACUAUUCAAGAUAACAUUUUGGAGUAUAUUUUAAAUAAACUUGUAUAUAAGAAGUUUAAAUAAAAAUGAGUUUUUUGAAAAAACACUCUUUUCUUAAAUCAAUUCGUUCAAAGUUACCUUUUACCAACAAUAGUUAUACAAUAAUAAUAAUAAUUAAUUUUCAUGCAAUAAAAUGUGAUAUAUGAAUAUAUAUUCAAAACACACCGUAAAAGUGUCAUAGAUAAAAUUUAAACAAAUCGAACCAAAAGGAUAUUUUAAGCUAACUAUCAUCAUUAUUAUUUUUGAAAUAGAAAGUCACUUAAUUUGAUAUGAUAUGAUUAGGAGUUCUCAAAAUGCUUCCAACCCAACUACUUAAUUAACCACACCAAGAUAAUUAAUUAAGAAAAAUGAUGAUUAAAUUAGUUUAAAAAUCAUAUUUCGAAACUCAAUAAUUAGGGGUUUUAAGUUGAUUAAAAUAUGGUCCCAUAAAAAAAAAAAAAUCCUUCUUGAUUGGCCAUAAGAACAUAGCCACGCAACCUAUAAAUGGCAAAUGCAUAUAUAAAAUUGACCUUCUCCCCAAUACUUUCGCACCACACCCUCUUUUUUCCCUUUCUAAUGGUGGCUCUAAAAGCUUCCAUUUGUUCUAUGCCACGUAGCACAACUCUAAUCCCACUUUUUCUAAAAAAAUACUUUUUUAAUAAAAAAUUAUUGUAAUUCUACCCCUAACAAGUUAUGAUUUGACGUUUAAGUUUAAAAUGAUAAGUUUUCUAAAUUCCUAUCACUAAAUUCCCGUGACAGAAAUUCUAACUUUUUUAUAGAUAAUUUGUAGACAUUGAAUUGAUUUAUACUCAUUUAUUGCAAAUUAUGAUUAUUUUUACUCCAUUUUAUUUAAAUCAAUUCAAAAUAACAUAAAUAAAAGUAUUAUUUUCAAAAACUAUACUGUAUUAGCAUAAUUAUAUAUAUAUAGAAAUUGCAUCAAAUGACAAAAAUAUUUAAAAAAUAACAGCUCACGACACUUAUUUUUUUACAUAUUGCGAAUAUGAAAAAAAUUAGUGAUAUUAGAUGAUAAUCAUAAGGCUAUCCUAUGGUUACCACACUGUUAUCAAUUUUUAAAUUUGCUAUUUUGCAAUUUUUAACCUUCAUAGGUCCUAUUAUCAUGAUUUUUUUUUGUUAUUUUUGCAAGAGUCUCUUAAAUAUACUUAAUAUUAAAAUUUUAAAUCUAGUUUAAUAAUAAUAAAGAAAGUUUAUUGCAGCAAUUUUAUGAUUAUAAUAAAUUGAUUACUUUCUAAGUAUAAGUUCAUCACGCUAAUUAAAGAAAAAAAAGGGUUUCAUUAAAUUUCUAGUACUUCUCUUUUUUAUACACAUUCAUUGAGAUUACGUUAAUAAAGAUCAUUAGUUUCCUAAAUACACACUCUAAUCAAUCAUUUAUUGUGAAUUAUGACUAUUUUCACUCAAAUUUAUAUAAAUAACCUAAAUAAAAAUACUCUUUUUCCAAAAUUAUACCAUAUUAGCAAAAUGCUACCAAAACAUGCUUUCUUAAUAUGAAUAAUUAGAGAAAAAGCUAGAGAAAAAAAAAAUGAAAAAUUGCUAGUAUCGAAAAUAUAAGUUAGAAGAAAUGAAGAUUUAAAUUUAUAAUGCAUCGAUUUUGUGAUUAUUAACAAAAUUCGUAUCCGAUAAACUUAUAUUUAAUUUGUAUAUAAGAGUGGUGAAGCACGUAUGUGUGUGGCUCCACAAACACCAUGGAAUGACUACAUGAGAGAGUAUUGUUAUUAUUUUAUUUAUUUUUUGGCAAGCUAUUGUUUAAAUUUUGUUCUCUCCUUGAAAUAUAAAAUAAUUAUGUUAAUUAUUUAUAAAUUUAGUCCAUUUGAAAAAUGUUGUUACGUUUUAAAUAUAUAUAGUUUGUAUAUUUUGGUAUAAAAAAAUUAUAAAUAGUUGUAUUAUAAACUUUUUUAGUACAACUUGGAGUAACGAGAUUUGAAUAGAAUAUAUCUUGGUUUCUACACAUAUCAACUGGGUCAAACUAUUGUUGGCCAUAAAGAAAUAUGAUUAUCAUUUGGAAAACCAUCGUAUACGAAGACGAUGAUUUUGUUUAUUAGCGUUAUCUAUUAUGCUUUUUUGUUUCGUUCUCGUUCUUUGGGCUUUGUUGGAUGAUCUAACUAGGUUGUUUUGAUAUUCUUUUUGUUUUCGUUUGUUUUUUGUUGUGUUUGCUGUUGCUUGGUACUUUGACCCCGAUACGUAAGAUCAGUUGUAUUUGUUUAAUAUAUGUGUUUUUCCAUUUUAUUUUUGUUAUAUAGUGAAACGUGUGAACGUGGCAUCCAAUUAAAAUUUUAUUGGCUAAGUUUGUUGUUUCUUCAUGGACAAAGUUAUUAGUGACUUGAGUGCCACAUCACCGUCACCACUGCCAAUAAUUCAUCUUUAAGCUUUACAAUAUGACAAUCUUUUUCAAUUGCUUUCACUCCAUAUAACACCCCAUGUUGCUCCCUGGAGAUUUUGUUUGAUAUACAUUGCUUGUCGAUCCUAAAGUUGUAAGUAAUGUUAACUUUCAUAUUUGAUUAGAGGAGAAUUUAGGUUUCACGAGAGUAAGACGUACGGUCUCUCUCGAGUUUAUAUAUUGAACGGGUGUUUGUUGCAUUUUUGUUUUGUUUUUGUCUUGUUUUGUUUAUGUUUCUUGCUUGUACUCAAUAAAUGAAAAACAGAUAACGUAGGAGAACUUUUUGCUUAAGAUUUGAGAACUUCUAAAUUCGUGUCAUUCAAGUCUCGAUGUUGAAUUUAAGUCAUCGGCCCACUUUUUUAAGUACCUAACUAGAAGGGUACUUUUUGUAAAUCAACAAUUUAGGUGUAGUUUGGUAACGAUGUGAUUGCUUAGUUAUAAAUGAAGCCUACAUACAUAUAGUUCACCUCUAGAUUUAUUUGAUUUGUUGUUACUAUCUAUCGAUAUAUUUUCGUGUUUUUUUAAAAAAGAAACUCGAUUAAGUUUGUUUGUCUUUUUUAAAAAAAUGGUUACUCUUUUCAAAUUUAGCUAAGAUUUCAUUUUGUUUACUUAAGAAAUAUUUUUAAUUAAAAAUAACAAAUAAAAGCUAAAUAAUUAUCAAAAUGCGAUCUUACCUUAGGUGUCACUUUUAGGGCUACUACUUAGAUGUUAACUGUGUUUUCAUUUAACGAUAAAUAUAGCAAAAGUAUCGUGAUAGUCAUAUUCAAGACUAAAUCUAAACUAUUUAAUAUAUUUGUAUAUCUUAAUAUAUUUAUACUUUGCUAUAUGUCCAAAGUGAAAAAAUGUUAUUAAAGGCGUUUUAGGGCUUAUUGGGCCCAAAUAAAAUCAAACACGUGACAUCGGCCGGAAUAAAUGGGCCACUCACGAGAUAAGUUCAUUGGGCUUCAAGCCCAAUAUUGAUAGAUCUGAAUGGAUAUUUGGAGGCCCAUUAAUCAAACACCUGGCCCAGGGACAGUCCAGUUACAGUUCCGUUCUCUUACCCGUGUUGAUCUGAGAGUGAGAGAGAGGGAGAGAAAGUUCGAGCCGUGGAAAAGUGCGGGAAGGGGGAAAAGUGAGGGAAAACUCGCAGUUUUGUGGAGCAGGAGGGUGAAUUGCAGAAGGGUUGUAAAAUGGACGAAGAACUGAUUGCGAAUUUUGUGUCAGCAUACUUGAAGAAGAAGGGUUUCAAGGAAACGGAACAAGCUUUUCAGGAAGAGCUACGUCAGAACAAGACUAAUUCUUCUUCUCCGUCUUCUUUCAUUGACGUCGACGUUGCUAAGCACUUACUCUCCUUCUCCGAGUACUUUCUUUACCCUUUUAAUUCAUAUCGAUUCCCAAAUUUCAUUUGCAUUCAGUUAUUAUUGGUUGAUUUGAACUUCUGAAUCAGUUGAGAAAUGAAAAGAGUUCAAAUAUUUUGUAAAUUAGAAAUUCAGCAAGUGGGUUUGUUGUAGGAUGACUUUUUUUAUAGUGCUUUUGAGUACGACGGCUAGAUUUGUACCCUAGCUAAUGUAAAUCCCUUGAAAGCUGCAUAGUUGAAAAUACUGGUCAUAUACUGUGGUAGUGUAUUCUCAUGAAAUUUACUUUUCCGGAGGAUUAGGUGCUUACUAGAAACCAUUUCAUACAAGCAAAUUGCAAGAGGGUUAUUGUUACGUAGCAUUAGAGAGACUCCAUGGUGGAGCUCGGAAUUUAGCAUGUGUUCUAAUCAUUUACCAGUUUCUACUGCUUACAUUGAGGUUCCUUUAGUUUCUUUCUUGCCAAACAUUCCUGUAAGUACACAAUAGUUAAGCAAUAUAGCGGCGGUUAGGUUGAAACAAGAGAACCACCCGCAACUCAAGAAUUAUGCCAAAAAAUGUUUCAUCCCUUUACCAAUCUUUCUCUGCCCACGUUUGCCUACAAGGUCAAUGGUACAACUUUGAAGAGCCAAAAUGGGUUUCUUCACUCAAAUAGUGCCGACUGCUCAGUGUCCCUACAGUAAUAUUUAGCCAUCAUAAUUUUGUGCCAUAAAGCAUCGGCUAUGAAAAAAUUGCAAAAUCCAUUUUGCUAAGAGCACUGAAUUUCAAAGCAGAAAUUUCCUAUCCCAAGGCCUCGCAAGAGGUGGGUUAAUUUAUUAUUCACCCAAUCGAGAUUAUGCACACCAACAUCUCCUUUUGUAUCUUCAACAAAAAAAAAAAAAAAAAUCCACAAAUGAUUUUAUCAAAGGAUUUGGCCACCUUUGAUAGAAAGUGAGAUAAUGUUAUUAUAUCUCGUGCUUUCUUUUGGGUACCAUGUAAAGAAAGAAACCGAAGUAUCUUCACAGAAAGAGCAUUUUUUUCAAAAUGUUCUUUGAUUUUGUCAUUUGUUAUGCUAUUCUAGGUCUAAUCUUUUUUGCUUCAUAUUAGUACUCUCCUCAUUAAAAACCAUCAUGGGUUGGCCUGGUAAAAAGGUCAAUAACUAAUUAAAAGGUCAUGAGUUCAAUUCAUGUUGGCCACCUACCUAGGAGUUAAUUUCCUACUGGUUUCCUUGACAGCCAAAUGUUGUAUGGUCAACGGGUUGUUCUGUGAGAUCAGUGAGGUGCGCGUAAGCUGACCCGAAAACUCAGGAAAAAAAAAACUCUCCUUAUUAAAACAAUUUGAUUAGCUUAUUCUUAUUGAAAUUCCAUGGAUUGUAUGUCAAUUUUGUGAAUUUCAUAUAUCUAUGAAAUAGUUUCUUAUAACCCCCCUCCCCCCCCCCCCCCCAAAAAAAAAAAAGAGAGAAUGCAAGCAUACUGGAAAAAAGGUAGCUUGUAUAAGAGUAUGUAUAUCUAGAAAGUUUCUCUGUGUUCUCGCUUGAUUGGGUUUGGGAGGAGAGUGACAAUGUCCUAUUUAACAUCUUUAUUUAUAUAUUUUUUUAAAAGUUAUCAUCAUCAUCAUCAUUAUUUUAAUGUAUUGUAUACUGAGCGGUAGUCUUUAUAGAGGUUUUCUUUGCUCUUUAAUGUUUCUUUUCCCAGAGCAGAGAAUAUUCCAGCUAAAUACCUUGAAGGAUAUAGCAAGCUUAGGUCGUGGGCUUAUAACUCACUAGAUUUGUACAAGGCAAGUAGUUGUCUAAUUUCUUACUGGAAAUUAUGAUUCAUUUUACUUUGCUUUUCCUAUAACAAGAACUUUAAUUCUUUCAUUUUCAGCAUGAGUUGCUUCGUGUGCUAUACCCUGUGUUUAUACAUUGUUUCAUGGAUCUUGUGGCUAAAGGACAUAUUCAAGAAGGUUUGAAAAAUAACGUGUCAUUUGAAAGUCUCACGUAAUGGGGGUAAAUAUAAUUACAUUCAUAUUAUUUUGCUUGAUAUCUGCCAGCUCGAACCUUUUUCAAUAGGUUCCGUGAAGACCAUGAAAUGAUGCACCUACGAGAUAUACAAAAGUUGGAAGGUGUACUAUCUCCCUCUCAUUUGGAGGUUUGUUGUUAACCAGUAAUGACUUUCUUAUGUUCUUGUCAUUGUUUAGAGAAGAUGGUACUGGUUUUUACAUUACAAUGAUAAUAUAUUAUAGGAGAUGGAAUUUGCUCAUUCUCUUAGGCAGGGAAAAGUCAACAUAAAAAUAUGCCAGGUAACUCUUUGGUUAUCAGUGGUCUGUAGUAGCAUGUUGUCAUCUUCAUGAUUAACAUGCAUUUGCACGAGUUGUUUAUAGGUUAUUUUCGAUCUCUUGUGAACAGAACUGAACUAAUCAAACUAUAGUUUCUGAAAGGUUUUAUUUUUCCAAUAAUGUUGUUUAGUACUCCUAUGAGAUGCUACUGCAAUAUCUUCAUAAGACCCAAACCACAGUGAUACUUGGGAUUAUCAAUGAACGCAUCAACUUCCAAGGUCUUUUACCUUUUCACACUUGCUUCACAUCAUUGUCCAUUGUUUAUGCAAGUUCUAAGUCUUUUUACCUUCUGACUCUAUCGCAUACUUUGUAUGGUUUUACAGUUUUCCCUGGUCAGCCUAGCUCAAUAUCUGAUGAUGCGGAACUUGUGACACUCACGGGAAGCACCCAGGACACUGCUAAUCAGAUAAAUAAAAAAGAAGUUCAUUGGGGGGUGCGUUGGCAAAAAUACCAACUUACUUAGCCUAUACGUCCUGAUUUUCAGGAUGAUUAUUAUUUUUCUUGCUUGUUGCCUUUUAUUUAUUUAUGUUUAUCAUUAUCAUUAUAUCCAUUAUUAUUUUUUUGACAAGCUAUGACAUGUCUGCUUUUUUUUUCCGAUUUGAAAUGUAGAUAGAUACUCUUCAAUUUUCUCUAAAAGAAGAAAAAAUUAUGUCAAUAUGUAAAUAAUGGCAACAUUCUGUUUGUGCUGUUUUUCUCUCUUCUUCCUUUCUUUCAUUUGAAUUCUUGCUGAUUUGACAUCCUCUUCAAUUUCAAAUUCCAUGAUUGUUAUAUUUAAAUUUAUGCUGGCUGUAGUUACUUGAAGAUUCUUUAGAAGAACGCUUGGAGAAAGCUGCUGGUUUGCUUUCAGAUUCUGAAAAAGCUGAGGGAGAAACCAAGGAUGGUGAUGUAGAUGAGAAUAAGGUACCUGAAGUGACCCUGUGUUUGUUAUCUUUGAUUGACAUACUCUAUUUUAUCUAUAGUUAUCAUUAAAUUGUUGCUAUUUUAUAGAUAUGUCCUAUCUCAUGAGUUACAUGUCCUCAUCUUUCUUGUUUAGAAAAGAACAGCUGAGGGAGGAAAGCAAGGCGGUUCAAUUAAAAAAGUCAAGAAGGACAAGACUGCCAGUGCAACUGGGAAAACUCUGAGGGCUGAAGCUAAUUCAGCAUCUAUGGCACCACGAGUGAAGCCAGAGCUUGCUUUACCCAUAAUGUAUUUCCUUCAAUCCUGUAUUAUAUUAUUUUGCUGCUACAGUUAUGUAACACUGCUCCUCGAAUGGGUUAGUGGAUGCAAUCAUCCAGGAAAAUGAUGAACUAAAUAUUAUCUCUUUCUAUGCCAGCUUUUAUCAGAUGUUAUGGGAUUAGUUCAUGAUCUUUUUUUGGAUACCGCAUCAUAUUAAGACCGAGUUGAACUUAGUUGUUGCCUAGGAUGAAGCAUUUAUACUCAUUAAAAAAAAAGAAAAAAGAGGAAAGAUGUAGUUACAGUAUUUAAACAAAAAAUUAAUGAAAAUGAGUAAACAGUAGCAGUAUUAGUUCUUCUUGCUGUUGAUUUGUCAUGUUGAUUGCUUUCAGAUCAACAGAGGUGGAAGAAUCUAUUCUUGAGGAUUUGAGGAACCGUGUGCAGUUGAGUUCUGUAGCUCUGCCAUCAGUCAGCUUUUAUACCUUCAUUAAUACACACAACGGGUAUCGAUCAAGUUUUCUUUCUGUUUCUGUUAGCAGUUUCAGUUUCUUCAGUCUUUAUGUGCUUGCAGUUGAUAUCAUUGAUUCUGAUGUAGUUUAAACUGUUCAUCAAUAUCGUAUGAUGGAGCUUUAGUUGCCGGUGGAUUCUCAGACUCUUCUUUGAAGGUAAGUCUUCUCUUUAAGUAACUUUGGAUGGCCUUAUUAUUGUUUGCUAAGCUAAAAAAUCUUGGUGGGUUUUUCUGCAGGUUUGGGACAUGGCAAAGCUAGGACAACAAGCUGGCAAUAGUAAGUCUGUUAAAUAUGUUGCGCUGGCAUGGGAUUUUUUAUUUUUUAUUUUUUUUGUUACUGGCCUUCAAUUUGUAAUAUAGUAUUGUUAAUAAAUUAUGCUGUUAAGAAAAAUUAUAUAUUAAAACAUUUUCAUGUAUAUUAGUGCUCAUUUCUAUAUCCAUCUAAUACAAUAAUAGCCAGGGUUUCUGGAAUAUAAAUUCAUGCUUGCUUGCCUUUUUAUUAAGUGAAUAUAAAAUCAUGCUCAAAUGUCAGGUAAAUGCAUAGAUAUCGUCAAUUUAACAUAUUGUUAUUUAUAAUUCGUGUGUACUCUUUAUGUAAAGCCUUAAAGGAAUACCAGUAGAGAUUCUGGUUUUGAAAACAUGAUAAACUGAAGUUGUAUAAAAUUUUGUAGUGCUUCUGAUUUUCCCUCUUCCCGCUUCCUUUAUUCUUGAAGAUUUUCUUAUCUCCUACUUCUGGAGAGUUAAUUCAUCAAUUCCGUGCACCAGCUUUGAGUUUAAAUCACCUUCACUACCAGUUAAAAAAGCUUGCUUCCUCUUGCUUGUUUUAUUUUUCUUUCUUACUCAGGUAUUUUAUGAAGGGAAUUGACCUUCAUUAUCACGUCUAUCAGCUGUUUUGCAGGAUGAAAACGAUAUGUCUACUAGUGAUCCAGUGACAGGGCAUACGAGUGGGAAGAGGCCUUAUACAUUAUUUCAAGGUCAUUCUGGGCCUGUUCACUCUGCAACUUUCAGUCCCAUAGGGGACUUCGUUCUUUCAUCCUCUGCAGACACAACUAGUAGGAUCGAACUGGCCCUUCCCUUUUCUUUUUAGCUUGGUUAUAUUCUUUCUUGAGAUCAUGAAUAUUUCUGUUAUCCUUAUCCUGGUACAGUUCGAUUGUGGAGCACAAAACUAAAUGCCAAUCUUGUUUGCUACAAAGGUCACAAUUACCCAGUAUGGGAUGUUCAGGUAAAUAUUUUAUCAGAUCUCUAUGGCUGCGGUGUUUUUUGUUUUCUUGAAAAUAUUUUAUUAGAUCUCUAUGUUCUGGGCGUUAGUUAAUUGGUACUUAGGUUACUUGUAUUGGUUAGAAUUUGUUAAAGUGCCAACUGUGGAGUGAGGAGUGUGUGAAAGUGUUAAAAUUAGAGGGGAGCAAACGUCAUUUUCUAGUGCUCUUUCACUAUUUGGUGCCACCACUGUUGCUCUACACUCACUUCGUUGUGCAACAAAAUUUGUUGUGCAUUAUACAGCAGACGCAAUGUGAGAUAUUGUUCAUGAUCCUACUCAAACUUGUAAUUAUUUAAUCCUGACCAUCUUUUGAUGUAGAAUAUCUCAAGUGGUUAGUUCAUGAGCUGGAACAAAGUAACUUUGCCCUUAGAGAGGAAAAGGAAUUAAGCAAUUUAAAGAGGUGAAAUCAUGAGGAUUGGAUAAAAUCUACUAAUUAAAGGGUCUUGUAGAUAAUACAGUGCCAGGGGUCUCCAACCUCACUACCCCCUUCCCUCUGGAAAAAACAGUAGAAGAAGGUAUGCCUAUCAACAAUAUGUCUAGCGUUCUUGUGUUUGAGCUCGUGUCCUAUAACAAUGCUUCGACAAAUACCCACAACUUUCAAUUAUACCUGAAUUUCAACUUUCUUUUCUUGGUAUUUAAAGGAAAAAACCAAAGCACUAGGUGAAAACUUCACAAGGCAAGAAAUAUAGAUGUAGGCAAGACAAUAUGGCGUAUAAUUUUUCUAGAUGAUUAUGGCAUGGACAUAGCAAGGUUAUGCUCAAUAUAUAUAUGUGUUGAAGGGAGAUGAAGAGGCUGAUUAUAGUGGUUAGAUAUUGUGUUCUUGAAUGCAAUUACUUUGCUUGGGCUAGUACCUAGUUUGUUAUUGGGGCAAACACUACAUCUAAAAGAAUCUUUUCUUGUUACCUAUUCCGUCAUACGUUGACUUGUUCCUGUAUUUCUAAUGUUUUCCAAUUCUUGUUUCUUAAUUUCUUACAGGUUGCUCACUCUCUUUUUCUCUAGCUUCAAUAGACUUCUCCGUUCAUACUUCAUUUUAAUCUGCAUUUACUUUUAGAUGUAUUGUACAAUUUGAAAUGUUUUUAUUGUUAUACUUGAUUUCCUGGUGCAGUUUAGUCCGGUUGGACAUUAUUUUGCUAGUUGCUCACAUGAUCGAACUGCAAGGAUUUGGUCUAUGGAUAGAAUUCAACCUUUAAGGAUCAUGGCAGGACAUCUAUCUGAUGUGGAUGUGAGCAGUUCAUUCUUUAUUCCUUCUCUGAUUUUUUUUCUUCUGUAUUAUCGUUCCCUUUCCCUUCACACUGAUUUCUGUAGUUUGAAACCUUAUCUUCAGGAAAAAAAUAGUCAGGCUUUUGCUUGUUUAUUUUCCGUUUUUGUUGCUUGAUCUUAGUGUUUCUGGUACAAUAUAAUCCAUAACAAAUGUCACUGACAUCUUCAGUGUGUUCAAUGGCAUGCCAACUGCAACUACAUUGCAACUGGCUCGAGUGACAAAACUGUUAGAUUGUGGGAUGUCCAGAGUGGGGAAUGUGUUCGAAUUUUCAUUGGUCACAGGAGCAUGAUUUUGUCGUUGGCAAUGUCACCUGACGGUCGGUUCAUGGCAUCUGGUGAUGAAGACGGUACGAUUAUGAUGUGGGACCUAUCAACGGGUCGCUGUGUUACACCUUUGAUUGGACACACAUCAUGCGUUUGGACGCUUGCUUUCAGGUGCAGAAAAGAAAAUUUCGACCCCACCCCACCCUACAUCCCUGCCUGCUUUUGGGUUUAGACAAUGACGUAAAUAAUUCUCCAAUAUUUGAUGUUUUACAUUUCAGUUGUGAGGGGUCUCUCCUCGCCUCCGGUUCCGCCGACUGCACAGUGAAAUUAUGGGACGUAACUUCAAGCACCAAGCCACCAAGAACAGAUGAAAAGUGAGAUCUCCUUAAAAUAGUUUAAGAGGCUUCAGUUUAAAAUUUGACGUUUGCAUAUUGAACAUAAUUUCUAUUCUCAUUAUCAGCAAAACUGGAACUCCCAAUAGACUUAGAUCCUUGAAGACUCUACCAACCAAGUCGACUCCGGUUUACAGUUUGCGGGUACAUGCAGUCCGAACUUGCUUAUUUUUAAACACAUUUCUUUAAAUAACAUUCCUCUAAAUGAUUUUAUUUACUUUCUUAUCCAGUUCUCUCGGAGGAAUCUCUUAUUUGCAGCUGGGGCUCUCUCAAAAAAUGCAUCAACUGCUUAACACUCUAAUCUUUUGUAAUCCUUGCUUAAUACACAAAUGUCCUGAUAAAAUCUCCUUGUAAUGUUCCAUUUAUAGGCUAUUUAUUAGUGUAUCAUUUCCAGCCAAACUUUUUGUUCAAAAGGAAGUCUUGACAUUAUCUUAUCCAUGCAUGAUGUGCAAGAAUCAUUCUGUUCAUUCGAAAAUUUGAAGUGAAAUGACUCGUACUUGCAGGCAUACCUCACCUCAAAUGAUUGUGCUGUAAAUGAUAAUAAAGAUAAGAAAAUUUGCAGCAAAAAAGAAGUUUGAGAUUAGGAAUAGUGUAAAAGGAUAUGGGCUGUUUGUUGAAUUGGCUAUUUGAAAAGUGGGAAAAAGGACAAGAAAAAAAAAGUACAUAUAAGAAAGGGACAAACUUUCACUGUUACUCAGGGCAGUGAACAGGCCGAUAAAGGUACUACACUAUUAUACCUGAAUUAAAGUCUUUUUUUUACUUCUGCCAUUUCAGUUUCAAACUGUACUAUAUAUUUUCAGUCUUAUUCUUCAUUUCAAUUCAUGAAAAGAAAGAAAACUAUACUUGUAGCUCAUCAAGAACAGUAGAUUCUGACUUGGUAGUGGCAAACUAAGAAUAAUGAUUUCUUAGGUUAACUGUUUAUCAGGUUUGAAGAUGGCAGUUCACAUUUAGUGCCUAAACCUCAGAAAUAGAAAGUUGCUGUACUUUUCCUUGGCCCUAAAAUGGAGCUUAAUAGCUUUAACUUUAGCCCUAUCAGAUUAUUUGAUGGCAGCGAACAGUUUUUUUUCUUUAUGUUUUUUAUGCACUUCUAUUUAUACACCAUGUUCAUUCAUUAUACCAUAUGUUUGCCCAACUUUGUUCCCAUUGAUUGUGUAUACAGCAUUACCAUUUCAUUCAUACUUAUAAUGUCUGUUUAGUUUAACACAAACAAACACAAGAUUAUGUGUUCUUUCAUUGUCUUCUCGGUUUUUGGUUUCUGCACAUUGGCAGGCUGAAGCAUACCAUUUAUUCAACCAACAGUUACAGCCAAUUACAGAUUGUGUUACUACGCACUUGUAUAUAGUGUCUAUAACCUAAGUUCUUGAAGUGAAGCAUUGUUGAUUGGAAGUUAUUGUUUUUAGAUUAAUUAGAACUGAUCUUCUAUUGGUUGUUACAGUUAUUUUGACAUUUUAUGAUCACUAACAGAAUGCACAGGCUUACAUUUUAUUAUCCAUUGCUUCUUGUAUAUGCCAAUAAGCCUAAACAAAGUAUUUGUGAAAUACAUCAAUGUAUGUUCAAACUGCUAAUUAUCUGAGAGUGAAAGUCCAAAAAAGUAAUGGUCUUUUUGAAGUUAAGAGCAAGAGUUUCAAUCUAAUAUUAAACACAUUGGCAGCAUCAGGCAACAACUUUUUUCUACCUGAAGCAAAGCAAGCAUUUUGUAGAUUAAUGCUCAACACAAUACUCUUGCAUUACAUCAGAUGUUUAACCCCCUCAUAACUUUUACUCGUCGAACCUGUGUUUUCGUUGUAUGAUUCUACCAUUUGAUGUGCUAAUUCCUGUCUCCUUCGACCUCAGCCAGGUCAUUGACAUGGGAGGAAGUUCAAGGCGAUCAACUGAGUUCCAUCCAUUACUGGGGGUUUGCUCAUCUAGUAUUUAUCUCAUUGUUGGAUCACAUUUUGUGUAUAUAUAUAUAACUAAUGAUAAGAGUAUUCAUCAUUAAAUAGGGAUUCAACACACACUCAAAGAUACAGUUCAGGUCUUCAAUCAUUCCCUUUGAAGGCCAACAAAUAGAACCAUUAGUCAUCUUGAAAAAUUCCAUAAUUUCAUCAUUUGGCCACAUAAACAUACAAACAAGAUAAUGGAUGCAAAAGGAAAGGACGAUAAAAAUAAUAAAUAAAGAACGAGGAGAUGAUUAUUAUUUUAUAUAGACUAAAAUCCAAUAACAUGCAUCAUAAUUUAAGAUAUACACAUCAAGAAAUUGUUUGUCGUAGCAAAAUUUCAGUUUAUUGACACUUCUUGAAAGGGAACAAAAACAUGUGUAAUUAUAUAAAAACAUUAAUGUAUAGAAGUAUAGAAGAUAUUGAUUAGUUGCAUUCUGUCAUAACUGACAAAUACAUUAGAAAAUUAAUUAGCAUCUUGAAAUAAACAAGAUAUGUUACAAAAUCAUCAACCACUGAAGAACCCAACUUUCACACAACAUCUUCUUGGCACAACAGGUCAAAUAUAUAUAUAUUGUUCCAUUCAAAAGCAGUAACUAACCAAAAAAAAGAAAGAAAGAGUGAAUAGAUAUAAAAAAACAUUUUGAGAGUGAUAUCACCCAUCAAAUAAAUAUACAAGAUUGAGCAUGAUAGAUAGACCAAAAAACCAAGUCGACUAACCAAAUCAAAACCAGUUGGAUGUUGGUUUAGAAAAACAUAAAAAAAUAUUUCAAAGACUAGUUAAACCAAUCGACUGAAAUUUACUACUUGACUAAGAUAUUUACUAAACCAUGCAUAGCCGGAUUAAUAGUGAUUUAGUAAAAAAAAAAAUCAACUCUCCACUCCUAUAAAAUAUCGAGGCAAAUGCAUGAAUUUGAUGUAAAAUCUGCAACAACCUAAUGUCUUGCAAAUAACUUAGAUGUUUUAUCUUAAACAUUGUUAAAAAGAAAAACAUUCAACAAUUUGUUACAUGAAUUUUCAAUCUUUUCCUUCAUAUUUUUUCAUCUAGAGAAUGAAAUAAUGUCAUUCAUUGUUUUUCAUUGACAGGAAAGACAUCACAUAUCCAAGAGUGUAAUGUAACCAAGUGUAGUCUAUACCACAAACGCCAACCUCUCUGGUAGCUACAAUAGUAACUAUAUGCUCCCUAAGUGCUUGUCCUAAUUACAAUGACUAAUAAUAUAGGUUCGACUUGGAUUGACUUCUAAUUGAAAGAAAAUAAGUAGUACUUUAAAUAGUUAAAAAGUUAAUCGAGACGUGUCCAUAAUCUUUAGGGUUAGAUAACUUAUAGUUAGUCGAGCUGAAUGCAACCAACCAUAUGAUUUAUUGAUAUAUGAAAAUAAUUAAAACGAAAAUGAUAAACAAGUAAACAAAGAAAGAUGGACAUUAUUAUAUAUUCAAUGAAGUAAUAAUUGAAUUUCAAAGUUAAGUAAAAUAGAAAAAGAAUCAAACAAUAUAUUAACUUUUAUCACUGCAUUUGACGUACGAGUGAUCUUAAAACUGAAGGACACAAAGAUCUUCAAACAAAAUCAAAAUUAUUACCAUUUUUUCCCUCGUUGAUAAAAAAAUCUAAUGAUAACAACAACAAUAAUAACAAUCUUGUGUCUUUCUUUAGCAGAUCCUCCUCCAUUGAUUUCUGUUUCAGAGCUCAAAAAGAACAAUAAUGGAAGAAGAAAGAUGGCAAAUUCAUGAGUCAAAUCUACAAAUAAAGAAUAAAACUCAAUCAAUCCAUGGAAAUAACAAAGGGGAAAAAGAAAACCCCCUUUUUCUUUUUCUUUAGUAGAGAAUUCCAAAUGAUAUAUGAAAAUAAAGAUGAAAAACCCUUUUACAACACAAGAUAUGAAAACCCAUCUCAAUUUUAUUAUCCCAUGAACUAUAAUACUUGAAGAAAAUAUGAGAGAGAGAGAGAGAGAGAGAAGAAAGAAAAUUACCUGGAACUGAGAAAGUGAAAUUACAGAACAAAAUCCUUUAGAAAAAAUACAAUAUAAUCAUAAAAACAAAAGAAGAAUUAAACUUUACAUCAAAAUAUAUAAAAAAAGGGUAAAGAAUUUUUUAGAAAAGGGAAAGGAAUUGGCAAGGGAAACUGACAGAAAGAGAAGUGAGCACACAAGAGCAAUGGCAUAUUAUUAUACCAAAAGCCUCUGUGUGCUCACUCUCUUCUGUCAACUUCUAAUUUUACUAACACCAUUCCCCUCAAUUUUAAUCACCUUUAAUUAAUUCUUCUUCUUCUUCUUAUUAUUAUUAUUCAACAUUUAGAAAACAAUGAUAAUAACAAUCCCUUUUGUAAAGGGUCAAAUCAAAUCAGAAAAAAAUUCUGGAAACCCAGAUAAGGAAAAGUGCCAAAAAAAGCAAAAAUUCUCAUAAAAUUCUAACAGACCCUUAUGGGAAGUUUUUAUUAAUUAGGGUUUAGGGUAAAGAAAGAAAAGCAAGCAAACAAACAAACAAACAAAAAAAAGUAAACUUUUUUUUUCUUCUUUUGCUUCAUCUCUGUGUCUUCAUUAAUCACUUUCUUUUGCUUGUUCUUCUUCUUAUCUAUCUGAUCAUGAAGCAGAUAAAACAGUGGCUGUAAAAUAAAAAUGUUCAUUGGAAAAACCAAAUAACAGAAACAGAAUAAUAAUAACAACAAUAAUAUAGAGAGAAAAUAAAUACCCAAAAAGGAAAGUUUCUUAGAUGAGAGAAAAAAAAGUACAGUUGAGGAGAGAAGGAAAAAAAAAAGAAAAAAAUUCUUUUUUUUUCCUCAAAGAUGAUGAAAUGGAAUUGAUUUUGAGAACAGAUUUUGGGGUUUGGGCAUCUCAUCAUCAAAUCUCACACUCACAUGGGUUUUCUUUUCUUUCAUUAUAAUUAGAGAAAGAAAAGAAGAUCAAGAAGAAGAAGAAGAGAGAUUCAAAGUUUUUUUUUUCUUCUCUUUUUCUUCCUUUCCCAGGUUGUUUUUCAAACCAUUAAAUCAACACAUUACAAGUGAGGGAGAGAGAGAGAGAUGAGAAAGAGAAAAUAAAGUUUAAAGCUUUCUAAAAGUUGUGGUUGGAUCAUGCAUUUAUGUGUGGAAAAAAAAACUUACCUAUGCACAUCUGUCACGAAUCUCUAGCUGUCGAGGAUUUUAGAGGUUGAGUUAGGUUGAGUUGAGGACUCAAACUUAAUUGUUUCGGGUGUAUAUUUCUUCGGUCAACUUAAAUUAACUCUAAAAUAUUUAAGUUCGAAUUAAUUUCUUUCUUCUUAAUAUCGUUUUACUUUAACAAAAUAUGUAAAUUUUUUAUUAAUAUAUUGUUCAUUUCAAUUGUGUUAGGGAGGAGAAAAAACUUAAAAUAAAGAAGUUUUUUGAAGAAUAGAAAAAUUGAUAUUCUGAUAACAAAACACAACAUUUAUUAAACUUUUGAAAUAUAUGCUUAUAUAAUUGUAUUUUAGUGAACUAAUAAUAAAAUCAGGUUGGUUUAAGGUAUUUUAAGGUGAACAUAUAAAACUAAUUGAACUCAUAAAAUUUCACUUAUAUUUAAACCUAGCCGAACUUAAAUUUGUUGGAAAUUCAAUUAGCUCAAACCACACUGAAAGAUUUUUGGAUACGAACUUAAUUCAACGGUAACAGAAAUAUAUAUGGUUUUUUUCUUUCUCUUGGGAGAGUUAAAAUUAAGAAGAAAGUGUUGCAAUCUCACUAAGUAAUUGUGGGUUUGGUAUAUGUAGAUGGCACGUGUGGGAGAGAUUGGAUAUGAAUAUGAAGCGUAGAUGGGAGAGGUGGGAAGAGGGGAGAGGAAUCCUAACCGUUGGAUAUGGGUUGAACCCUAGUUGAGUUUUGAUGUCUUUUGUUGGAAAUUGGGCCUUGAUGGGACUUUGUCAAAGAGAGGAGAGAUUUUAUUUUUAUUUUCAAUUUAGCCCUUUGGUUUUGGUAAUUGUAGUAAUUUUGUUGGAAGUACUUUUGUGUGUGGAUGAAAUGGGUUUGCUCAACUUUCAUUUUCCUGACAACCAAUUGUGAAGCUCAUUGCCUCCUUCUAUGGAGAGUGAGACACUAAACACUCAAAAGAGAGUGAAAAAUGCAGUGUUCGACUUUAAACAUGUUAAACUAUAUACACAUUUUUGUCAUUUUAAAUAUCAUUUGGAAAUACGUUUUUAGUCGUUUCAAGUUUUGACAAAUUGGAAGCAAUUCUCAAACAUGCAUUAAUAUAUGAUAUUUAAACGGGCCCUAGAAGGAUAGAGCCAAAUGUGAGAAAUAGAGUGACAAGAAAUUUCAAGUUAGUAUUAUAUUACCUUUUCAUUCAACAAUAUUUGACACAUUGUUAUGGUACAUUCAUUUUAUUAGUAAUUGUGUAAUAGGGUAGCACUUUUAAGAGUAUAACCAUAUUUUUAAAAAAUUGCGCAAACACAUAACGAAAUCUAUGCAUGAAUGAUAGACUUUUAUUAGUGAUAAUAGUACUGUAUCAACCGAUAUUUAUAUCUACUAAUGUUUAUAGAUUAUCGUACCUCGGAAAAACGGAAAAAGAGAAAAAGAAAAGAGAGAAGAAAUAAUAGGGAUGGGGACCAAUCUUUGUUAUGGUAAGGUUAAAAGGGAAGGGCACUUUUGUUAGGAUGAAAUAAUAAAGAAAUGAAAGAGAAAAGAGAGAAAGAGAGAAGAAAAAUUAAAAGAGAAGUUUAAAUGUGUUUGGUAAUGGCUAUCUAUUCUAUACCCUAAGCCAAGGGGUUGUGUGUGCCUUCUCUUCUCUUCUCUUCUACCUUCUCUUACCCUUUCCAAACUUUAAAGGUUAACUAAUUAUUUUGCCUUUGCCUUUGCCUUUGCCCUUCUUAUAUAUAUAUAUAUAAUUCAAAUGGGAAAUUUCAUGGGAACAAAUGAAAUCAAAACAUUAUAUUAUGUGUUAAUAAUAUAUGAGAGUGAAAGAGGGGAGGGGGAGGGGACACCCACACCCUUAUUAAUUCAUAUAGUGUCCCACUUUUGUUGCUAAGGGGUCUCUAGAGCCUAGUGUUGAUUGCCUAUGCAUGGACCACUCCUUUUAAUACUCUAUUCAAUUUAUACACACCACCAAAUUAUUCAAUUUAUCCCCCACCUCUCUCUCUCUUUCUCUCUCUCAUGUGUCGGGUUUCGGUUUCGUUGAUAAUAUAUAUAUAUAUAUAUAUCAUAAUCAGAAUCACGUGAUAGUGAAGGAAAGUUAUUCUACAG
rnacentral:lncRNA from 1 species